GUUGGCUAUGGCACCGAGGAUGGUGUGCCCUAUUGGACCCUGAAGAAUUCUUGGGCCGAUAAGUUUGGUGAAGAUGGGUAUUUCCGGCUGUGUCGAGGUUUUGGUGCUUGUGACAUGAAAGUUACUACUAUCUCUGCCUAUUCUAUGUGAAAAGAUCGAGUUCCUUAAGUCGAUUAAUAAGUUUUACAAUCCAUAUUCAAGUCCACGAUGAAGAUCACAACUGCGCCAUGCUCCCUCCAAUCGAAGCUGGGACCCGGUUUACAACCCGCUAGUACCUUUUACGGAAUCCCAUGAACCCUAAGAGUUCUUCUGGGGUGAGGUCCUGAUUCCAUGAAUGGCAGUGGGAUCCUGGUGCUGGAGUCUCUUGGCGCGUGCCAGAUUCGCUUCAAACACCUUGAGCCGGUGCACGUACUCCUCGCGUUGCCAAACUUGUGCAUGAAGUGUUUGAGGUGGCCUUCCACAUCCUCCACUUCUACGUCGUCUAUAACCUGUCGAAUUCCACCGAGAUCCAAUCUACUUGUUGACGAGCAAUAAAUCACGCUCGCUAGCAAGACCAAGAUGAUCACCAGAGCCUUUGCCAUCUUUCUACUUAGGGCUAGAAAUCCCAAAGUUAAUUCCCAGCACAAAGGGUUACGAGAGAGCUUGAGUAUCUUUCUUAAAAGUUUGUAUUGUUUUACAAUCUUGACAUUGACUUUUUGUUAUGAUAUAUCAUACGAUAGAUGGUAUUAUAUAGAACCCACUUCAAAUAAAAGAGAGAUCCCUUUUUACCGUAAAUUUAAAAUAAUUUUUCUUUCUAUAAAAUUAUUGACAACACAAAAAGAAAAGGAAUCUAGCCGGAAUCUCUAGAGACAUGGUAAAGACUCAUCUCCAUGGAGGACGCUCGUUCUAUAUGCGAGAUGGGCACUAGCUCUUAUAACAUGACCGGCAGCAAAGCUCGAGGAGAAGGCUAUCCAGCUUGAGAAUUUCUCAAGCUUCUCCUCGACUAGAGUUGAGGAAGGCGCGGUGGCCAUCGGUUGUGGAUGGAAGCUCAACGUUCUCGACUUGAGGAGCUGGAGCUUACGCAUGGUUUCACGACUGGAGCUUGUUGACAGGCAACACGAUGGACUUCAUCCCUCUCCAUACACUCGUCCGGAAGUUAAACGUCGCGUUAUGCUCGAGGAAUUCAUUUGCUCUGUAAAAAACAGGAAGACAUUGAUCCUAUCUUACCAAAAACAAACAAAACGAGAAACUCAAGGGACUUACCAGCGUACGAUCAAAGUCCUGAGCACCUGGCGGCCGUGUACGUAACGACGAUGAAUACGGGAAAGGAAGAUCUCAUCGCAGGCAUCGUAGUUCUGUUACCUUUCCCUUGGCCAUAAAAGCUUCCACCGUAUCACAAUUAAUACUGGCGGAUCAUCCUCAAUGCAUGAUGCUGCCACCACCUGUCGGUUCCUUUUCAAGACUUUGAAGCCUUGGAUUGUAAUUUGGAGCCUUGGACCGCACCACCAGGUAUCACCUAAUCACCAACACGAGCGUCCAAUUAAUCGAAAAGCCAGUGCUCUAAAGAGUUAUAACUUAUGCUCACCAAAAGUCCACCUUUCCGAGUUUGAAUUGAACCACGAAACGCUUUAUCGCUUUGCUCGAGUCGAGCGAUGGCUGCUGCUGCUGCUGGCUGGUGACGGUGGUGCUGGCAGACGACGAGUAAUUGUUGAUAAAUUCCUGGCGAGCGACACCUUCCUUUUCCUUCCUCCUGUCCUGGGAACCAAGCAACCAUAUCUCAUUCUCUCUCCCGAUUCCUGUUCUUCCUGUUCUGCCCGUCUCUUCGUCUGAUUACCAUCGCUAUCGUGUCACUGUAAUGGCGGUCUCGGUUGAUCUUCUUUCCCUCCAAAACGAAAAACCAGGCCCCUCUCAAUCAAUCUGUUGCCAGUCCUAUGUUCGUGCUGAGACAUCGCAUUCAGUCGCUUCAGCCAUGUCUCCGUUCCCCCCAACUCUCCAUUUUUUAAUUCACUGAGAGUCACUGAUUCACUGCCCUGUCGAAGUAAAUUUCCUACCCGACCUCUGCUCAGGCUGGCUGAUGUAUACCCCGGCCACCAUAACACAACCCAACCGCUACAAAUCAUUGGUCGGCUUGUCGAAGCAGUGUCCUCUUCUAGCUGCUUGCAAACUCCAGCUCCGUUUCUACGGGGUGUAGAAGGAGCGUCCUAAGCUAAAACUACUUCGCUGGAACGAAAGCAAAAUGAAAGGAAAAAAGCAACUUGAAAGUUACCUCCAACGUCUUGAUUUGAAAAUGUCCGGAGUUGAUGGCCCGUCAUCUCUCGAACUGUAGUGAAAGAAACGGGGACUGGCAAGCGUCGAGCCCAACCUUUUCAGCCCACAGCCCCACGAAGACGACGACGCGGAGCUGCGCUUGCUUGGCUUGAGCAGUUUCUGCAGGUCCUGCUUGAUGUGGUUGUAGCCAGUCCGGAGCUCUAAGAAUUGCUCCUUGAUCUUUUCGAUGUCUUUCUUCAGGGACCUGAUGUCUUGGGACGCUGUUUCCCACGUAGCUUCUGAGUAGGGGGGAGUGACUUGCGUACCACCACCACCGAAAGAGCCAUACCCGUAUAUGUUCUUUAGCUUGAGGUGUUCACUGAAGAGUACCUGAACCACUGUCCUGAGAGGAAGACGUUCGUUCUGGGAGGCAUGCAAGCGAGCCUCGGAAGAUAGCCUUUGACAGUCCAUAAUCCUGCAUAGCCUCUUGCGAUCCUGUUCCGUCGCUGUCGGAUGUGCCUGUAGAUUAUAAAAAGAUAAAGGGAAAGCAAUAAGAUUGUAUCUUCUAGCAAAAUGCCAAACCGAGCAGCUUUUACGAACCUUGAGGUACAUGUCGAUAGCUCUAUACAGUCCAUCGUGACAGGCUCGUGAGUAAACUGGUAAAGCGUCGGCGAGAGCUUGGAACUUGGUCAGUGGCAGCUGAGGAUCGUGUGCAACUUCCGCUAGGUAGCUGUCCAGCAGCUUGGCAACCUUCAUCUUGCUCCCGGACGAAUGCUCGUUGAGAACCGAGAUGGAGGAGCUCUUGUUGUCGAAACUUAACUUUGCCUUGUCUAUGCUCGACGGAGUUUCGGCAUCGGGGCUCCGAUCCGGACUGGUUUCCUCCUCGUGUGCAAGAAAGUAUUCCACUAGCCUUUGAACGAGGCCGACAUCAUACCGUGUGUCGGAAACAUGGGGAGCGGAAGGAAUGAGCAAGUCACCCAGUGUCGCUUGCUCGAGCUGUAUGGCGAUCCUCUUCUCCAGCUCAACUUUGCAAGGACCACUCGCGUUUAGCAUGCUAGCUAUACGGAGCAUCUGGAGUAAAAAACCGCAGCUGACCGAGUUCUUCUGUCCGGGAAGUAGGCCGACCAUACUCUCCACUACCAGCUUACUCCUGGCUUGCAGCCAGGUGAAAUCCUCCUUGGUCACUAUGGCUGGAGAACUUGUAGCAACCGCACGGCCUGUUUUGCUGGACUCGUGGCAUGUGUUGGAUAGAGUCGGGAUCCACUUGAGAGCGUAGCACAUUAUCACAGCUCCGACAAGCUCCGACUUCAUUCCUUUGGCCUUGAUCGCCGUGAGAACUUUAGUGAAGUGGUCGAUGCACAGCAUAGAGACGUCCUCGAACCACCAGUCCUGUGGAACCUGCUUCAGUGCCAAAUUGCGCCCGUCUUUCGCAAUAUAGCUCGAAGGACAGACGACGUUUUUCUUGCCGCCAGUGAUCGUCGGCCAAUUGUUCAGCCCCUUUGGAUCGGUGCAUGCCUUCCAGGCAAUCGACUCGCUGCACCGUCUCACAAUCUGCAAGUCCUCUGCCCAUGGAUGGAGUUUCUCGCAACUCAGCAGCACCGUGAGCGUGUCUUUCCACGAAGCAAGAACUACCAGUGCCAGAAACGCCUCAGUCUUCGCAAUGAGAUUGCCUUCUUCGAGCUCUUCUACCAUCUCGAGAUACUCCGCCGCACAACGCAAUGCUGCAACGUUGGAAGCGUUAAGGUCGAUUGGCAUGCCAUAGCAGAAUCUGGCUGCCAAUUCAAAUGCUUCGGGGCCGCCGGGGACUCCUACGAGUUUAAUCUCGUCAGUCUCGGUAUCACGAGACUCAAACACGAGCCGGUUGAGUCUACCACUCCUUGAAAGUAGAGGAAACUGCAAACGAGAGAGCAGAAAGUAUUUAGUAUCAAUAGCAGCAACUCUUAAAUUCUCGCCGGUGGGAGAUUCAAAAGGCGAGUAGGAAAAAGGAACGUUACUGGCGUAUCAACGAAACGAACCUUGUGAAGAUGAAACUUGAGAUCAUCGACCUCCACAACCAAGUCGCUCUGAAGCUCUGUCGCCACGAACCUGAAGCGACAUUUGUGAGCUCGAGGGGACCACGAAGGAGAAGAGCUCACUCGCUCGGAAAGGAAUGAGAGAGGAAGAACAAAAGAAAUUACCAAGCUUGGCCUUUCCUCUGGAAGCUGUUGUGACCAGCAGGAACCGCAGCUUCUUCAUCCAGUUUCAGAGGGCUCAUGCUGAGAUACUUGUUGCUCUUCUCAUCAGUGACAUUUUCAGCAUUGCUCGGCACCCUGUUGCACGCUCGGCCGCUGAUCCGAGCAUUGUACACUCCUAUCCUCUGCUGUUGCUGUUGUUUUGGAACAUUUUCCCUUCUCUUCAUGCUUUUUUGAGAUCCAACGGAACCAGCCCAGCGCAACAGCACAAAAUGGUCUCCCUCUUUCUGCUCAGCACGCUACAAGCCUUAAACUUCGGAGCAAGGCGCCUAUCCAUGUGAGCUGUGACGUGCCACUACACGUGUGAUGCCCUGCUGGCAAUGGUACGACCACCACCACCUAAAAGCACCUAUGAAACCGAACCCACCGCCGCUUUGUGGUGAAAGAUGUCUUGACAAAAAACGUUGUGCCGUUUGAAGGCGUUCACGAAAGCUGGAAAAUGAGUUCCACCUACGGCAAAAGAUGAAGAGGUAAUCCGAUUGUCUUGACUUCCAAAAAAGAAUUGUCUUUAACUCGUACCUCGGUUAACUUUGGAUCUUGAAUUCCUGGAGCGAAGACCUGAAAGCGUCCGCAAGCUUAGGAAUAAAACAAAGCAAAGAUCCCAAAUAACCUGCUUUGUAAACAUCUGUUGACUCUUUACAGAACGCAUUAGACCCAAUGCUUGUCCAGAAAGUUAUUCUUAAGAUCGUUGUUUGACAUGGCAACAAAAAUGCGGCCUUUAGUAGCUGUGAAUUACCAAAAAACGAGCAUACCUGGGACUAGAGCAACUACAAAAAUUAUUAAGGAUCAUAUUAGAAGAUCGUAAUGGUUGCUACCACUGAAGAGUAACCUCACUGGCUUUCUACCCUUACGCUCUUUGGUCGAUUUGCUGAACUCGCUUCCAUAUUCCGCGAUUGGAAUGUAGCCUGUGCCCCAGCGAGCUCCCUGCUUGAGCUGAAAGAAAAGAAACAUUACUCCAGUUGUUUGCAACCAUAUUUGCUACCUCGGAUUCGGGAAUGUAUACUGUAAUUGGUUGUCCAAGCAUCCGUGACAAAACCUGAAGCCAGCCUUGCCAUGAGCUUGCCUGACCAAACACAAGCUUAGCAACUUUACCAGAAGUUCCGAGUCGCCUCCCCAAAAAUCUUGUCUCACUAUUCUCUGGCAGUAUCUGGCAGUUCCAGUUGGAGCAAGGAUGUUGUUUGCUUUCGAUCAAUACCUUUUAAGAGAUUCGUCCACCGUCACUGAGAUAAGAGCGUCUUCAUGCUGUCGACGUUCUUGCUCACUUGUACAGAGUGCCUCUCGCACAGCCAUUUUCAGUUGAUCUGCGAGAAACGAGCUUUUGAAGGAGAGAAGAAAAUUACAAAGUGCUCUUACCAGCCUCUUCCUUCUCCUCUUUACCGCUCAUUCGGACUCCCUUGUUUGCAGCGAGACCUUGCGCCUACUCAAACAAAGAGAACAAAUAAAAGAGAAAAAGAGAGGUAGUGAUAGACACAUACAAAGAAAUAAAACGAGAAAGAAAUCACUUACCAAAGCUCUAAACAUGCAUCGUCCAUCGCCAGCAAUUCGAAACACCGUAUAAUGCUCGACCUUCUUCGCGGCCGGAGGAGCCUGCCUGUGGAAUAAGUGAGUGAUUUACUGGAAAUCGAUCCAAUGCGGCCGAAAUAUUCACCUCGUUGCUGAAUCCGACCCGAUCCUAGCAAAAAACAGCGAUCUAGGCUUGAAAAGAGGGCGCUGGAUCGCCACGGAGGGGAAUGGAGGGCUCAAUUGCACUCCGCUUCCACUUUCAACGAUCUCAAACCAGGCGCCGGGCUCCAGCGCUUUCCCUGAAUCCGAUCGAUUGGAUCGAUCGAAGCGAAAGCGAGACGAAAGAAUGCAUACCUGACGAAGCUCUCUCCUCCGCCAUAAACCCUAGCUAAAUUUUCCCCUUCUGUUAGGGUUCUUCGUUUUAAGGCCGGGAUAGGGGUUUUUAGUGUUUAGCGCUCGAGCACGGGAAGCUGCUGCUCAAGGAGAGGUGGUGGAAGAAGAAUCUCAAGCACAGAAUGCUCAGCAGUGAAGUGUGCUCCUUGCGAUGCAAGGCGCACAGUUUUCCAGCAUCAGCAAGUCUUUUCCAGAGAUCACGCUCGAGAUGACAGCCUGUGGGUUUGAUGGAGAAAAUCACCAACGAAGUCCUUUCGUCGCUCUUCGAGGCUCAAGCUUGCUUCAAAACACGAGUCGAUCUAGACGACCAUCUCUCAAAUCUACACCGAGUGAUUCCAACUCAAGCGUGUUGAUCAGUGACAUCUUAUGGGAAGUGCUGGGAUCCUCUAACCGAGAAGUUCGUGUAUGCGUCAAUCCCUGGAGACGAUUCAUACACAAGAACAGAGAAAAGGCUUAAGAACCCGGGUAAAAUCUCCCAACUUUGUGUGCUUUCCAUUGUCAAGGAGCGGAAGCUCUGAGCUUUCUAAUGCUUUGUCAUGUUUCAGAGGUGGAGAACGGAUUUCAUACCGUACGCACUGAGAGCUGGGUUCCAAGAGCUCUUGUUGAGGCAACGCAAGAUGGAAGUAAGUGUUCGUUAGUGUCUUCAUGGUUUGAGGAUGACAAGUCUUCUGAAAAACAGGACGAGAUCCGAAGAUAUCUUCCAGGCAGCGUUGAGUGCGGCAAGGCUGUUGCUCAAGGACUCACGCCCUGUGGAUCGGAUAUAUCCAUUCGUUUGGGCGGAAUCGAAAUAUAAGUACUCGAUCCUGGACGUUUUUGGUUUCGUACUCGUCGAGUGGACGAGCUUCCAUACAGAAGGUACAGUUUUUCGUUUCAAUAGAACGAUGCAUUGAUUGUGCAUUCACUAGAUACCUUGACACAGUUGUUGCAAUGCGUUCACAGUCAUUGGAAGAGAUUUCGACCGGAAGAAUGAGCAGUUCCAUAUAAAGUUUCGUAAUGGUAUGUUGCCCAAGGAAGGGGAGUUCCCUGUAGGCGUGCUGCACGUAAACAAUAAGGUAGGCUCUCGCUUUUCAUAUCUUUACGUUUUCUACAGCUUGGAUCCUUGUAGAUCUUUCAGAGGCUGCUGAAUUCGUUCAGGGCAUGUUGCGAAUAUCGAUAGGCAACCAUGUCCUAACGUGGAAAGAAGAAGACCUCCAGGUAUUUUCUCAAUGUGUGUUUGGAGCUUUCUCUACAUGUUUGGAGCUUUCUAAUGUGUUCUUCAGGAGGCUACGAGGUUGCGAAAGCUGUCCAUCGCUGCCUGCAAGACACGGGUGUUCCAGCCUGCACGAGUGGAAGCUGAGAGAUCGGAACAUCGUCUGGAUCUUACGAGCAAUUGAAACAAACAGGUUGAAACAAACAGGUCCAGAGGAAGACUGGGAAAACGAAAGCAGUGGUAAUUCCUUUGUUUGUAUGCUAACAUACACUGACUGUUGGUCCAGUGCAGCUCAUAAGGUGAUUGCUGAGGUUCUCUGAGCAAACAAAAGUUUAGAAAGCUUACCGCAAGUUCUUGUCUCUGGCAGUGUAAGACUGUCGUCUGUUUUCAUCAAACUUAGAAGUACCAUUCGUCCAGCUUAACCGAGAUAAGAGCGCCUACAAGCUGUCUACGUUUUUUCUCGCUUGUGCAAAGUGCCUCUCUUACAGCCAUUUUCAAUUGAUCUGCGAAGACAAGCUUGGGAAGUGAAAAGAAAAUUGCGAGUCGCUCCUCUCUAGAUGGUUUGCAGCGAGUCCUUGUGCCUACAAGAAGCGCAGUGAUAGCCACACACGCACAAAAAAGAGAGAAAGAAGCUUUAGGAUAGAAUCACCACAUAAGCUCCAUUGCGCAUAGACACCGGGAAUAUACCAAUUUCACUUGGCGGGACCACGUUAGAACCCUACUUUUGAGAUUGAGUGAAUGGAUGGACACGACCGAAUUCCUGGGGCGCGUGAAAUCGUGCUCUUCGCUCGCGAUUGCUCGCCAGCUCCACCAGCAGAUCCCCUGCAAGCCCAGCGAUGGCGCAUUCGUGUGGAACAAGCUGGUCGAGAUGUAUGGGCGCUGCGGGAGCGUCACGCACGCCCGCCAGAUCUUCGAGCUCAUGGGCGAUUCUCACAUCCGGGAUCUCUUCUCCUGGAGCGCGAUCCUCCAUGCCUACAUUCGAAACGGGCAUUUGGAGGAGGCCAAGGCGCUGUUCGAUUCCAUGGAUCGCUGGAACGUCGCCGUAUGCACGACGAUGAUCGUGGGCUUUGCCACCGCACGGAAGAUCGAGGCGGCGAGAGGGAUUUUCGAUUCGAUGCCGCUGCUCGACACCGCCGCGAUGAAUUCGAUGAUCUCCGCGUAUGCACAGUGUGGCUGUUUCCAGGAAUCGAUUGAGCUGUUCGCAUCAAUCCCCCACAAGGAUGUGUUCUCGUGGAAUGCGAUCCUCGCGGCGAUCAUCAGGGCUCGCCCAAUCGCGGAAGCGCGAGAGUUCUUCGCGGCGAUGGAGGAACGAGAUCUCGUGUCGUGGAACCAGAUGGUGUCGGCAUUCGCGGAGCUGGGCUUCUCGGACGAUGCCAGGAGCUCGUUUGAUUCCAUGCCACUGCACGAUCUGGCGUCCUGGAACUCGAUGCUCGCGGUCGCCGACGGAUCAACAGCGCGAGCGCUCUUCCAGUCGAUGCCCGAGUGGAAUCUCUUGUCCUGGAACGGGCUUCUCAGCAACACCACCAUGGAAUCGCUCCCCGCGAUCAAAGAGAUCUUUGCUCAAAUGCCCCGGAGGGAUUCCUUCUCCUGGAACGCGAUGCUCGCAGCACUUGCCCGGUCUGGGGAACUCCGCGAAGCCGAAGAGAUCUUCGCAAGAAUGCCACAGCACAGCCUCACAUCCUUCAACAUCAUGCUGUCAAUCCAAUCGAUCGAUCACGCUAAAAAAACCUUCGAUUCCAUGCCCGAGCGCGAUGUGAUCUCUUGGACUUCGAUGCUCGACGCAUAUGCCCGGGCUGGGGAUCAAGCCGGCGCCAAGCGGCUAUUCGAUUCCAUCCCCUACCACAACCUGGUGACAUGGAACUCCAUGCUCGCCACGUACGCCCACCAUCGCCACGUCACCGAGGCCGAGGCCACGUUUCGUGCCAUGCUGUCGGGCUUGCAGCACGACGUUGUGACGUGGAACACGAUGCUCUCGCUGUACGUGCAGCUGGGCGACGUGCGCCGGGCCGCGCGGCACUUUGACGGCAUGCCGCGGCGGAACCUCGUUACGUGGAAUGCUCUGAUGGCAGCUUACGUGGACGCUGGUGACAUGGACCGGGCAAAGCGAUUGUUUGGUGCUAUGCCCGAGAAGGAUAUUGUGUCCUGGUCUCUCUUGCUAUUUCUUGCCGCCACAAUGGAAUCCAUCGAAACCAUGGAAGGGAUAUUCGAUCAAAUGCCUGAAAGAAACCUUGUGUCAUGGAACACGAUGCUAUCUGGCUAUGGCGGGAGUGGGCAUCUAGAAAUGGCGAGACACAUCUUUUUAAUAAUGCCUUUUAGAGACGUUAUUUCUUGGACAGCGUUGUUAACGUCUUACGUGCAUGGCCACCUUUUAAUCGAAGCAAAGAUAGUGUUUGAUACCAUGCCCAUGCACAACGUUGUGACGAGGAAUGCGUUGCUAUCAGCAUAUGCCCAGAACGGGCAUUUGCUGCAAUCGCGAAAGUUCUUUGAUCAAAUGCCCGAGGUUGACGAUCCCGUCUCGUGGAGCGCGAUGCUGGCUGGGUACUCCUCCAGCGCUGAUUUCUCACAGGCGGCAGUGGAGCUCUUCUGGCGGAUGAAUCUGGCGGCCGUUCUUCCCGAUCAGGCGUGCUUCCUCUCUAUCCUGAUCGCUUGCAGCCACGCCGGGAGUGUCAAAUCCGCCAGGAGUUUCUUCGGAUCCAUGGAUGUGGACUUCCAGAUCGAUCGCACCAAGCAGCACUACUGCUGCGUGAUCGACUUGCUCAGCCGGGGCGGCUAUCUGGACGACGCGCAAGAGCUCGUCGCGACCAUGCCCUUCGAUGCCAGUGCCUAUGAGUGGAGCUGUUUGCUUGGGGCUUGCCGCAAUGGCGGACACAAUCUUGGCCACGCUCGCGACGCCGCCAAAUCGGUUCUAGGCAUAGGCGUGGAUUCUUCCUCCCAAUCUUCUUCUUCUUCGUGUUCUUCCCAAGAAUCUUACGCCUAUGUCCUUCUUAGUAAUGCUUUCGCCGAGAGUUUAAACUAGCCGCCAUUGGGCUAGGGUUUUCAAGAGAGAGCAUUCCUGAUCCGCGAGGCGCCGGUGGAUUUUCUGCCGCUCGCUGCCAUGGAUUGCCAUUUCCGAGCUCCAAGGAUGGAAUGCAGGUCGCGUACGUCGCCAUCGUGCGAUCUCGCCCAGGGAAAAUCCAGCACUUCAACGGUGUAUUCCACGCGUUCGAAGGGAUUGGAAGGCUGAAUUCUAGCGGUCGAAAGGCUGGAAAUUAAAUCGAUCGUGCUCUGCUCGAGGGUAAGUUGGAAAUCAUGAAUGGCAUUUCCUCGAACAGGCAACAGGAUCGUCUUAUAUGAGCACUACAAACUUACUUCUUUGGGACAUGCUUCGAUGUCGAUUCUAGAGUUGUAAGUGGGCUGAAAGAUUUCCAGGUUCUCGUGAUUCCUCGUUUCUAAGAUACUGAAGCACGGGUUUGUCUCCUCUUGUGCUUUAUUGCGGUGGCUCUAUUUUGUUUUGCAGCUCCAGUUCACAAUCGCUAUGCGAAUUGAUGGACUUUCUUGCACCAUAGCUUCCGUAUGAUCAACCUCUGAUAAGAGUCUUGGCCAUCUGAGGUAAGUAAUUCAUACUAUAAUUUUCUAUCUGCCAGACAAUCCUCCAGAUAAGAUAAUGCAUUUCGCAAAACCGGAAUCUAAGCUCAAGAACUCUGAAGAGAAUGCUUCCAAAAGUGAGACUCGCCUCGUCCUGUGAAAAGUGAAGCCUGGCGAAAGAUUGAGCAGAAUGAUAACAUUCAAAGUAAGAUUUAAGAUCCAUGUUAGAACAUUCUAAUGCGAGUCAUACUCUUUAUGCAGGAGUCAGGCAAUUCUGUGCUUCUACGCGUCACUUGUCGAUUCUGGAGUUGUAAAUGAGCUCAAAAAUUUCAGGUGCUCGUGAUUAAUCAUUUCUAUAGACACUGAAGUACGCAGUCGAGGUAACUACAAUUUUCUAAUUGCAUCGCAUCUGACAAUCUCAUAUAAUGCAAACCGGAUUCUAAGCUCAAAAGCUCUGAAGAGAAUGCUUCCAAAAGUGAGACGCGCCGUGAAAAGUGAAGCUUGCCGAGAGUCCCUGGCGGAAAGGCUUGAGUGUGACAACAUUCAACGUAAGAUUUGAGAUCCAUUUUAGAACAUUCUAAUACGGGCCAUACUCUUUAUGCAGGAGUCUGGCAAUCUUGUGUGAUACCUUCUUGUAGGAUGGAAAUCAUCUCUGGACUGGUGAUGCAUCUCGGGGUCUUAUAUUGAGUGGGAUUUGUUCCCUUUUCAAGGCUGUAUUGUUGGAGAGCCUUGAAUGUCUUACCACGGACGAUGCAUAACCGAAGUGGACCGAUCAAGCCGUUCUCACGACGCUGUUUAUAUCUCUCGGUCAGUGAGGUGUCGAGAACGCAGCAGCAGGUUUCCAGGAUUAUGGGAUUCAGGCUAGCACCAUUCUUGAGCUCCCAGAAGAUCAUGUACCUCUGGCCGUCGUGGUGGCAAGUGAAGUCGACGAGCUCCUGUGAAGCAGGCAGGCAGUGCUGAGACUUCUGGACUGCUACCUGUAGCUCGGCUUCAGUGCUUCUUUCUCUUGCCAUAUCAAGCACCGCAUUGAGACGAUGGACGAACGAUAUGUUAGGAGAGGAGUUGGAACCCGGUUACACGGACGAUGUCCCCAACUUUGUACCGAUAAAGUCCUGGUUGCGAAAGACAACUUCCGUGAACAGACGGAUUGUUCUACAUUUACCGGACCAGGUGCUGACAACGAGCUCGUAUUCCUCGCCAACCUUCACGUCUACGAGCUUCACGGUGGAUCUGUAGCUUUUGGGGAUAGGGGAGGAAUUCGUAGUAUGCAUUCUCCGGAUGAAUGGUGAAGCUGACGCUCUCAGGUGGACAGAAUGGAUCCAGGUUGAAGCCGAGAACGCACUCCGUGCAGACGUAGUCUCCAGAAACUAUGGGAACGCUUCCUCCAUAUUUUCUUACAGCAAGAGCAUACGGUGCCAUUCCUCCCGUGGUGAUGGUCACUAUAACCUUGCUUUUCGGCCACAAGCGCUCUACAAUACCGCACCAUGUGUUAUCGGCUGUGCAUUCCUUGCGAAUACUCUGCGCUAGCUUGGGAUUUGGCCGUAAGCAGAGCGACAAGGAACUUCUCAAGGUCGGGUCGGUGAUCUUCGAGUUGAGAGUUCCGGUCUGGACGUCAUCAGCUAGCUCGCUCCACGCCUCCUCCAACAAUCGAAGCGCUUCUACCAGUGUUAUAGCCAGUGCUGAGUGACGUCUUCGGAUCGAAUGAGGCCGCAAAGCAGGUGGCAGUACAAAGACUGGUUGAUAUCAGGUGCCAGAAGAAGUUCCAUGGGACUGGUGAACAUUUUCUUCAGAUUUUCACCUUGGACUUUGAAGGACAUUGAGGAGGUUGUCGAUACUGGAAGGCCGCCAGGGCUCUUGUUUUCUGGUUUUGCAAACAAAAAGCCGAGACACAUCGGACUCCAUCAUAUAUACCGGCCUGCAGACAACCAGAUAGUGGCAAAGUCACAAGCCUUCAGCAACGGAUACCGACGGAAUAGCAGCUCGAGAGACUUCGAAGUAGCAGGAAUGAGUUUGGGUUCUCCACUGACUGUGCCGGAGCUGCUAUUCGUGGAAAAAAGCACGAGAUUGGACUCAUCACAAGAACGUUGUCGCAGCGUACCUCGUGAAGAAACGGACGACUGGCUCGGCAGUAAGAAUGGGAGAAGUGUCGCCAUUGGCAAUGCGCUGGAUGUCGUCUGCAACGUCGUGGUAUUCGAUGAUGAGAAGGCUGUCGAAGCGGCCUCCAUACCUUCGCAGGUACUCGGUCUCGCCGUUGAGCUCCAUCAUCUGACUAAGCAAGUUCGCUUGCACAGCUGCAGCAUCCUUGGUCUUGGACUCUAUAUCGUCCCGGGACAAAGCUGGAUCCAUUGUUGUUGGUGGAUUCACAACAGAGGUAGGAGUGCAGAAACUUUGCAUGAAAACUGGCCUUACAGACAGUGUGAGCCAUGAUGGUGUUGACCAGACAGGUGAGAAGUGGAAUUAAGCAUUGCGUUUGUUUCUUGGUCAUCUAACUCCGAAAUUUAUGGUUGAUGCAGUAUCCUUCGGAGGAUCUUUGGUUGCAGACAACCUCAAAGCAAAACAAAAGGAGUCACAGCGGCAAGCAAUUGAAAGAUAUGCAUCUCUCAUAAGGGAAUGUUCCGGCGAAGGAACUUUGGCACAGGGAAAGUGUGUACACUCGCAACUUGUCUCGGAUGGCUGGGGGCAUGUCACCUUUCUCCAAAAUCUCCUGGUGGAGAUGUAUGGCAGGUGCGGGAGCCUCUCUGAGGCUUUGUCGGUGUUCCAGGGGAUCGAGAUGCCCAGCAUUUUCUCGUGGACGCUGGUGAUCGCAGCAAGUUCCCGCAACGGGGACUUUGGAGGCGCCUUGGAUCUCAUCCGGAGAAUGCUGCUGGGUGGAGUGAAGCCAGACGAGGCUGCUCUUGUAGCGGUUGUCAACGUUGCUGCUGGUCUGGAAGACAUUUCAUUCUCAAGACAAGUUCAUGCCUGGGUUGUGGAAGCUAGACAUGGCUGCGAGCUCGUUGUUGGGAACGCAUUGAUCAGCAUGCACUGGAAGUGCCGGGACAGUGGCUGGGCAGAGCGAGUGUUCUACGGCAUGCAAGAGACCGAUGUGAUCAGUUGGACGUCUAUGGCUGCUGCCUAUGCUCAGAACGGACAGCACGCAGAGACUCUUCAGCUGUUCCGCAAGAUGGACGUGGAAGGUGUCAAGCGCAACUUUGUCACGUUCGUGACGCUGGUCGAAGCUUGCACACGGUUCCUGGACUUGGAGAAUGGAAGGGUGACGCACUCGAGAAUCAAAAGCUCCGGUUUCUGCUCGGUGGUGAUCGUCAGCAACAGCCUCAUCCACAUGUAUACGAAGUGUGGAGAUUUGGCGAGUGCCAUCGACGUGUUUCGAGGCAUGGGGGACAGGAACACAAUCUCCUGGACUGCUAUGGUUGCUGCUUACACUCAACACGGUCACUGCAACGAGGCAAUCAAGCAUUUCCAGUUCAUGGACUUGGAAGGUGUGAAGCCCGACGUUGUGACUCUGGUGGCCGUCGUUCAUGCCUGCGGGGGCGUCAUGGUGCUGUCCAAGGCCAGGGAGAUCCACGCUCGGGUUUCCGACAGUGGCUACUUCAACUCCAACGUUCCUCUGGCCAAUGCUGUGAUAAGCAUGUAUGGCAGAUGUGGAGGCCUGGACGACGCAAGAGAUUGCUUCAGAAGGUUGAGGUUGAAGAACACGAUAUCGUGGAGUUCUCUCAUUGCAAUCUAUGCGCAAGACGGACAAGGCGAGGAGGCGAUCCGGCUGUUUAAGCUGAUGGUUCUGGAUGGAGUGAGGCCGAAUUCUAGCAGCUGCGCCAGCCUCUUGUCCGCUUACAGCCACGAAGGUGACGUUCACGACUGCCGAGAGUGCUUCGCAGCUAUAGCAAGUGACUUCGGCCUGGAACCAACGAAGGAUCACUUUGCCGGCGUGGUUGAUCUCCUGGCAAGGCUUGGAAUGCUGGACAGAGCCUUGGAGCUGAUCAACACAAUGCCGUUUGUCCCAGACGUGGCGGUGUUCUUGGCUUUGCUAUCAGCGUGCUGCGUCCACGAGGACUUGGAGCUGGGAAGCGCCGCGGCAGAGCAAGCGUCUGGGCUGGAUCCAGCGGACGAGUCACCUUACGUGCUGCUGUCCAACGUUUACGCUGCGCUGGGAGUGUGGGGCGAGGCGUUGUGAUUCCUGGAGAUCGACCAAGGAAGAAAGAGCACGGUAUGUUUUCGAGUUCUAGACUUGAAAUUCUUCAUUCCUUCCAAUUCUUUCAGCUGUGAUUCCUAGAGAUCGAAACCAAACUUAAAUUCUUUCAACUUUGGAGGUGCUGUGGUUGCUGGAGAUCGAGCAUGGAAGAGCACGGUACGUAAAGCUCUAGACUUAAAAUUCUUGAUUCCUUACGAGGUCUUUCAGCUGUGAUUCGAAACUUGCAAUUCUUCCUGGUAAGAGCAUGGUUUUGUAUCCAUCGGAAGCUUUCCAUUGGAACACUUGAGAGCUUUCCAUUGGAGCGAUAAGUUUAUGUUGGUUUCUUCGUCAUCAUCUUUCUUAUUUUUCUAGCAAUGGCUACAAAAUUUGCUAUUGUUCUCUUGUCUAAGCAAAGAUUGUACAGGGAAGUCGUCCUUCCUCGUCGUUUUUCACGGAGCAAGCACCAGAACCUUGAUCGUCCCUUGGCUGUUUGCCGCAAGCAUCGUUGGGCUAUCGCUCUUCCAGCACACAGCACUGAUGAAGUGGAACACAUCGUCGUCGCUCUCCUCCGAGUCAUGGUUUGUGAAUCUGUGCCUUGCUGCUGGCUUGGGAACUUCCUGCUCGCAACAAACAAACAAAAGCCUCAGAUUGAUUCUCUUUUUCUCUAGAAUCAAUCAAAUGGACUUACUUUGUGAUACACCACGACUUCGUUCGUUUCACUACCGCACGCAAUGUACUCGCUGUUAACUGUCAAGCCUACAAAGUUCUUCUCGUUAGCAUGGCCUGUGAGGCUGCGUAUCUGCAUAGACAAAGCACGGUGUUUGAUUUGAUCGAUCAGGAAACCUUCGAGCUAAAGAGCUGUAGAGAUAUGCAUACCUGGGAGCUCUUCUGGACGUCCCACAAUCGCAGUGUACUGUCAGUGGAAGCCGAGGCCAACUCGUUGGGCGAUACAAACUUUACAUACGAGACGGCUUUUCGGUGGCCGCUAAAGACAUGUAGAGGCGACUUGGAGUUCCGGAGAUCGUAAUAGUGGAUAUGAUGAUCGGCCGAGCCCACCUAGAAAAAGUAAACCAAGGCACUGUCAAACACAACAAGAAUUUUUGCUAGUUGAAAGAAAUACCGCGACAAAAUUGCUAGAUCCGGGAUUGUAUUUGACACAGCAAAUGUUUGCCUUCAUGUCAAUGUUCAGGACACUUGUCUCCUGCCUGGUGCACCACAGCUUGACCUGUGCGUCAAAAACACAAACAGGGAAUUCGGGUGUGUAAGUAAUAAUAAAACACUACCUUUCCGUCGUCACUCCCAGACACUAGCAUUGUCGGGUCCGUCCUGGAGAAAUCGACGCUCCAGGCUCUUCUCUCGUGCUCUUCGUACUCCAUGACACUCUGCAAGGAGAAACGUACAAAAGUAAACAAACAAGCAAAGAAAGAGUUCCCAAGAGACAACUACCUGGCAAGAAUUUACAUCCCAAACAGUUACAGUGCCUUCAUAAUCGCUGCUCGCGAUUUGUCCCUUGAUGUACUUGUUCCAACUUAGGCAGCUUAGCUUUGACCGCGUAGACAUCUCGGCGACAGGACAAUGGACGUCUGCAAGCUCGUUGACAACCUGUUAGAAAAAACAAAGUAUUAGAAAACAAAAAUCACAUGCUCACAUACCGUUGCAAAUUCGAAAAUUUUGAUUCGCCGCGAAACUCCUGCAGUGGCAAAUAGUUCGUCGUCCCUGUCAAAUUCAAUACUGAAAACAAUACACCACUGGUGUUAGAAACUCUAGAGAUAAUUGAAGACCUCACCUUGAAACAAUGUUAGAAGAAUGAAAUAAGUCUCCGUGUCGUAGCUCAGCCACCAGCUCCAAACGACUAAGCAAAAAUCCAGCUUGAGAAAAACCUUCAAGAAAAGAAGAAAAGUGAAGGUACCUAUAUCUGGUGAAGCCAGCGAGAAUGGAUCUAAAGUCCUCAAGGCCCGAAGGUUGAUUAAACCCACCACAGGCUUCUUCGUCUUUCUCCUUUUUAACAAUGGCUUCAAACUUUUUCAUCUGACGAUCACGUCGUCUCUUAUUCAAGUAACAAUCUUGCAAGUCUUCAAACUGUCAGAUCAGAUCCAGAACAUAACAUUAGUCGCCACUUUCACUGCACUGAGACACACCAUACCUGGUUUAGCAUCCUCUUUUUCUUUGCGGUCUUACAAGGCAGCGGUUCAAAGUCAGAGGUACCAUUUGAAGUGCCACCAUUCUUCUUCACGAGAGGACCUCUCGUUGCUUUCCUUUGUUCUCCACCGAGCAAGGCUGCCCCUGCUUGGCCGACACGAUGCAAGGGAACCGCAGGACGGUUGUACGGGUUCUCUUGAGCCGGACAGUCGAGAGCCGGGCAGUCAAGAAGAAAGCGCCACUUCAGCGAGCUUGUUUGUCUCGAUUUGAGCAGCUCCUGCCUCUGGAUCUCAACAGUAGAGAUGUCCUCCCUCAGCGACUGCAAGUCCCCUUGAAUCUGAGAAACAAGACGGUUAGCAUUUGCUCAUCUUACAAAUCUCUGGUCGGUGUCAUCCCAAAUGACUCACGACAACUGACCUCAGAAAGUUCUUCCAUCUUUUGCUGCCUAGAUCUCUGCAAAAACUCGAGAAGAACCUCCAUGUUCACCUCGGCUUCCUCGUGCUCGGCUUUUCGCUUCUUAUCGCUCAACAAAACCAGCAAUGAAUCGAUCUCUUUGAGUGGAACGUCGACGCCCUGUGGGAAAAAAGAAUCGAAAUCACGCUAUAGCAAAGAAGACCACAAACCUGUUGUAGAGCAAAACGAAGCUGCUCUGUCGGGGACGCACACGAGAUUUGCGACGUAGCAACCUUCUUAAGUAUCUGCAUGGAAAGACCAUUGGUUUUUUAGAUUUAGCACGAAGAACAACGUAAAAACAAAAGAACAAGAAAAGAUCUAAGGAAAGAGGGGAAAACUUACUUUGUUCAAUAGAAAAUUGGGGUAAAGCUGACUGCUAGUGAGGUAGACUCCACAGCACGGGCAGUUCUUCUUGUUGUUGAGGUGCGUGAUGAUACACAUGUAGCAAAAGCUGUGGCCGCAAGCCGUGAGAAACGCAUCCUUCAUCGUCUGGAUGCAAAUCGGGCACUGGAAAUCCUUAUCCGCCAACAGCCGCGGCCCUUGCUGCUGCUGUUGCUGCUGUUGCUGCUCGGACGAGAAACUCAUCGGCUCCUUCUUGAUACACAUUGCUCUUGAUCGCGCUACAUCCAUACCCGAGCCCAGCAGCCGCGCCUAAAAUCUCGUCUCAAGGACAAAUGCCGCCAAGAUUUCCAUUCCAAUCCUCGCCAAUCCCUAGCUGCGAAUCCCGGAUCAUCGAAAUUCCUUCCCGCUGCUCCUGGUGGAGAGAAAUAUUUACCUAUCCCGCCGCGGCGCCAAGAAUCAUCCAAAUCUCAGCUCGAAUUCUUGCGAGCCAGGGAUUCACGCGGCUGCCGUGGCUAUAGAUCGUCCGCCAUAGCCGUCGAGGACGAGACGCUCCACCAGAAAGAAGCGCGGCCAAACAUAAUUUCCACCCUCAGAAACUUAUACCCGGCCUCGAGAAAAAUGCCUUAAAGGCGAAGGCUGAUGACGUGGGGGCGCCCGCGUCCGUCCAGAUCGGGAUGGAGCUAACGGCGCGAUGUGCAUGUGCGUAACGCCAGCAACGACCACGGAACCAAAAUGGCGGGGGUGGCUGACUGUGGCGCGAGUGGCCGGAAAUAUCCCGUUGGGCACGGUGCCAGCUCAGGCCCAAUCAAGAAUGGCGGCCAAUGGGAGCGAGGCUUCUGAUUACAGGCGUGACGUGGACGGCCUGGGGCCUUUGUUUUCGAUACGGUAUGACAAGGGAAAUCUGUGGGUCGUCGUACGAUCUGACGGCCUCUUUUAUUUUCUGUAUCCGACGGUCACGAUUUGAUGAUGACAGGUAAACUUUAUUGAAACUUCCAAAUACAAAAUGCCUAGUAUAUUCUUUGAUUCUAUUUCACUUGGAAAUUGUAGUUCAAGAAUGGAAGGUGGACCAACAAUAGCUGAUGUUUUUGAACUUCUUUAUGGAUUUGGUAGUUUAUGGAUGUUUUCUGAAUCAAAUUCUUGACAAAAAGAUCAAGGUAAUACAACUUGAAUUUCAUCUUACACAAGAAAAAAAGUUUGUUAUACAUUGUUCAUGCCUAUAGAAGUCCAAGUCUUAUAGUGUGCAAAUUGUAAAUGUAGUUGUUUUCACACAUGCCACAAAGAUGUAUGCCACUUGGCAUGCCCAUUGCCAUGUGUUCUUAUGCCAUUGGCCAGUGUCAGUUUUUGAAUGGCCAUAGCUUUCAGAUGGCCAUAAAAUGGGUAUGGAUAGCACAAACAUGGGUGUCAGCCAUUUGUGCUUACAACUCAAAUGUAUGUAUAUAUAACCAUUUGUGUGUUUGGCCUUUGAUUUGUGUUUGUUAACUUAGGGAUUAGUCAGUAUCUAUGUUGUAACAGUGUUGUCCAUAGUAGUUCAUGUUCUAUUGCUCUAUUCCAGAAGGUAUACUUAAUUUUUCUAUUUUUCACUAACUCUAUGAUUUAUUUUGUGAUAAAUAAAAUACUCCAAUUCUAUAAGACUUUAUCUUCGUAUUUAACAAAAAUGUAUUUAUUAUCUUUCUAAGGUUUAUUAGAAAAAGAAGAUGCAUCAAACAUUGAGAGUGAAAAGGGUGAAAUUUAUAAGGUAAUCCCACAUAUCAAUGCAAAUAGUAUUUAUAUUUGAUCAAAUUUACAUUAUAAUAGUCAUUUGAAAGUUUCAUACAUUCAAGAGGAUUCAACAAUCCUGUUAUAUUUAGCACUAGGAUGACCCUCAAGACUAUAAAAAUGAAGACAAUGGACUUCUUAGUAAGCUAUCUUUAAAUUUUUCAACCCACAUUGCAUAAGUAUAGCUUGUCAAUCCAUAUUAAAGUGGUACAUACUACCAUUUUCCUUCAUAUAAAGUACAUUCAAACUAACAUGGCUAUGAAUUAUGUGGGUAUAACAUGGGUAUUAUCAAUUCUUGCUCAAGUUGUCAAAUGGCAAAACAUCAUUUUAGUUGUUGUCAAAUUUGCAAUACUUUAUAUACAACCCAAUACAAUUGCAUGAUAGGCAUCUCAAAAAAUUUGACAAUAAAUAUAUACAAAUGAAGCCUUCUAUAUUGUGCUAUAUGAAUUGUGAGUAAUAUUUCAUUAUACCAAUUUAUUUUUAAACCCAAGCAUUUGACAUUGUGUUAUUAUUGUAAGCUUAUGACAUAUAGAUUUUACAUCCAUGCAAUGAUAUCACAUUUUUAUUAUAGCAUAUGAACUUUCAACGACAAAACAAUCUUACAAUCUACAUACUAAAAAAUGUCACAGCAUAAUUAUGUGUCGAAGAAGAUGAUGGUGGUGGUUUAUACUCAUGAAAGUGCCUUUAAAUGAUAAAAACUCUUUUUCAACAGAAACAAUCAUCACCUCAAAAACUAAGUAUUUGUGAAUAUGAAAAAAUAAGUUGCAUUAUCACAAUGCCAUUAUUCAUUGGCACAUCAUGAAAGCAAUAGAAAGAACCUUCCAAGUUAAAUUAAGACUAUGAAUUUUACUUUUGGCUAUACUUUUCACCAACUAUUGUUUUAGCCUUUGCAAAGCCAUAUUAAAAAUCAGUUAGAUUUGGUCUAUAGAGUUUUGGAAUUAAAUUCCUCCACUUCUCCAAGUUAUUUUUGUUAUUUGGCAUAAAGUGCAUAAUUUGGGAAAGCCUCAUAUGAAUUUGCACUACCUUGAUUUUUAUACUUCUUUUUGUCUUGAACUUAAAGGCUUAGAUGUAAUUAACACCACCACAACCUCCAUUGUCGACAUCCUGAAAGAUGAAUGCUACUUUAUUGGUGUUAGUGUGCAUAGGGAUUGUAUGCUUCCUCCAUCUAUUAUAUCCCUAACAUACAACUUGCUCAUGUCACUUGCUAAUAUUACCAAUUGCCUAUACGAUCCUUAUUUCAUCUCCCAUUUGAGCCCUAAACUAUAUCCAACCCUAGAACCCUAAUGCUUCCAAUUCAAUCUUUUCUAGCAAGGCUUCACGAUUGGAUGUUAAAUUCUUAAAGCAUUUCAAUGAGGAAGUUCCUAUUACACAACACCUACAAUAAACAAUUAGAAACCACAUCCAAAAACACAAUAGAAAACACACUCAUAAUCCUAACCAAGAAACAAGACCACAAGAAUUUAAUAUCAAAGAAAGUGACAAGCUAUAGAAAGCAAUGGCUCUGAUAAAAAGCAUAAAAAGUAAACUUAUCUAUACUUUAUUUCACUCCUAUUGCUCCUAAUAUUAUUUCCACCCAUGUAUCUAGUAAGACCCACAAACAGAAUAGGACCUAUGUAUGGAAGAUCUUUGCACCACUCCAAGCUACAAAACCCUCACCAAACUAACACCAUAACAUUCAUGGGAAAUAUGCCUUCCAAAAUUAGAUGCUGUUAAAGUCCUCUUGACUUGUAGCUUUCGAAAAACAUUCACCAUGGCUUUGUUCCUAUAAAACCAAUACAACAGCCAAUAAAAAAAUUAAACAAAGUCAUAUAUGAAAGAUGAGGAGAAGAACAAAAGCCACUUCAUCCCAUGUUUAAAGGCAUUUUACUAGUGAUUCUUGGAUUUAGAUCAUGGAGUGUCCUUUACAGAGGAUGUCACUGCAUAUAAGUGGCAACACAGUGGCCACAGGCCAAUUCUCCCUCGUGUUUCUCCUGGAGAAUCUCGUGGCAGGAUCUAUCUGCAGUGCUUUUGCAGGCAUCAAGACUAAGGGCUUUUUGUUAAAUUUCCAACUGGGACUUGUUCUUAAUGUUAACUUGAUCGAACUGUUGGCAGCCAUCAGAUCGAGUCAAGUUCUCUGCGAAAACGUGGCUGACAAUUGCCAGGUUCUCCAAAAUCUAGCUGCCAGCUGCCAGCCCUCUCAUCCUCUGAUAACGUUAUUCCACGUGUCCGUUAAUGGUCUCGCCACAGCCCGUUAAGGCCGUUCCCGGGCACGGAACGUGCUCGCCCUACCCGGGAACUGCCUCUUGACGACAUGGUCAUUAUCGGUUUCUUCCUUGAGAACGUGUUCUUCUCUCUUGGCGACAGUGGCGGCUGCCCCGCGGAUCGACUCUCAAAAGCGGAAAACGAGAAGACUUUUCUCGUUGAGAUCUUCACUUAAUUCUUGUACAACUUCCUCCAAGCUCUCACCCAAGAUUCUCUGCUUCGUUGCCUCCAAGCUCUGCCCAUCAUUGUUUGGCACUUGGGCCACUUGAAUUGCCACUCCUGCAAGCACCCAACUCGCCGAAUUCCCCGCAAAGGUCUAGGGGGUAUCAUUGUGCCAGGCAAUGUGAUCGUGUCAAGUGUGCUUAGUGAAGUCUUUCUUGUGAGGGAAGUUUUCGAUGCGCUCUACAACGAGAUUGUUACGCGAGUUCCUCCUGUGCCACUUGAACAGGAAUCCCGGUGUGGGCAAGUCCGCAUUUCUGUGGUACUUCAUCAUCUGGACGGGGAUUGAACGGCCACAGUCAGUCAUUCUCUACGAGACGAGAUCGAAUCGCCUGAAGUUACCUUCCAUCUGAUCAACCAACAGAGCUCUCCUGACUGAAUUGGCAACCGAGUUCUUCUUGCUGCCUUGUUGGACGAGCACAACUCCAGAGCCAUGAGGAAACUUCGUCACACGUACACACGCUAUCUGCCUCCAUGGGAGAGUUCGGUUUGCUUGUGGAAGUUGCGAGCGGACAAGAUGGCCCCUAGAGACGCAAACGAGAUCAAGGAGAAGAUGCAGGCUGCCGACUUAGCAUUCUCUUGGUUGGGUGGCAUCCCAAGUUUUCUGUGGGAUCAUGAGCCUGGAACGCUCACACGUUCAAAUGCAAGGAAGUGCCUGGCCAACACCAAGCUCAGGAAAGUGUCUAGCAUCCUGCAGAGCUCUGCCGACCUCUCGUAGACGCUGUUCCACUUCAACGUGAUGCCUAGCUGCUGUUUCAGUUGUUUCCAAUAUACAUUUUGCUCGGGGAAGGUGGCCACUCUCUACUCUGGGUGUGUAGAACCAAUGUGGACAAAAUCCGCAGCUUUCUCAAGGCUUCAGCAAGUACUCGGUGCUGAGGGGCUUCGUUUUUUAGCAGUAUGUGAUUAGACAAGCGUUGGCACUGGACAUUAUGGUAUACCGAUGGUAAGAUGUUAAUAAUUUUUCACCUUUUGAUGCUUUUUAUCUGCGUGUUUUAGGUUGACACUGCUUGUUGCCAAUGUUGUGAUGAUCGAGGUAAGGGUAAGAUGAUUCAAUGUGCAACUUGUCGCAAGUGGUAUCAUACUAAAUGUGUUGUUAGGGAAUUUGAGUUCAGAAUUUGAUUUCAAAUAUGAGUGUGGAAAUUGUCAAAAUACAUUUCCUUCUGGCUUGUUGUUAUAAUAUUAUAAAAGUGAUCCUGAAGAUGCUUUGGUCGCAGCUAGUUGGUAUUUUUUUUUUUUUUUUUUUAUUUACUUACUUACUUCUACUGUGUAGGUAAGGAUAUGAAUUAUGCGGUCUUUGAUUUUGUGCUGUUACCACACACUCUGGAACAGGCUAAUGUCACUCAUUAUAGUCACAGGCCAGUUCUUGAGGCUACAAUUAAGGUGCAGCAGGCUCUCAAAGCCUGGAGAGAUGAGUUUUGUCAGGGCCACAACAAUAACGAUGACGCCCUACUGGUUUUCUUUUUACCUCCAGAUUCUUAUGUUGACUUCUACCAUUCAUCUCGAAAAGUUUCUCAGAAAGUUGUCAAAGGUGAUUGAUUUCAUAUGCGCAAGAAGUAUGUUGAGUUACAGAUUGUGCAGUGUAAGGUGGCUAUACCGGUAUCUUGAAGCCCUUGUGUAGUGAAGCUUACCUAUGACAUGGAGGAUGUUUCUCCAUAUCCAAACUUACCAGAGAUUUGGGAGGAGGCUUUUGGCUGCAUAGAAUGCACAGAGGAUACUUUUGAACGAUCAGAGAAGUUGCUCGUGGAGGAAAGAUUUGCAUAUUGGUUGGUUUCUGAUGGAGACAAGCAGGACGAGUUAGAAAAAAUCUCUGACCCAGCCAAGCCAAUAAGCGCAACCUUCAGGCAUUCUGCAAGAUCUACAACCAGAUGCUGGUAGCUUGUAAAAGGAAGAAGAGUAUUUUUUAGUUCUCAUGGAAAAUCAUCAUCAUACUCCCUUUACUAAAUUUCCUAUUUGUUGGACCGCAACUUGGUUGGAAGUCACGCACAGCUCAGACAACCGAAGCUUGGAACCGUAACUUCUUACGGAAGUACAUGACCACCCAGGGUGGUGGUACAAAUCUAACUCGUCACAACUGACCCCAUGUGUCACCAGCCUGACAACUCAACUGGAAAAUGUGGAAACAUUGGCCAGGGCUUCAUUAGGCCCCUAGCUUUAGCAUGCAGCUCUAGAAGAGCCACUAAAGGCACAGGCACAACCUCGAGAUACAGCAUCCUGGAAUCGCUAAUGUCUUAGCUAUUGUGACUUUGUGAUGUCCGACCUGUGUUUUAAAGUGUUUACUGGCGGUUAACAGUGAUAGCAGUGUGCUUAGAGCUUGUGUCCCGUGUUUCAGAGUGAAGGAGAGUGGCUUGAGGCUUGCAACAUCCCAUGCAAGUGCCUUGAGCUAUGUCGCUGUGUGUGAGAGCUGCUGGUGUUGUUUUUCUGGCGUGUGGGGAAUCCCUUUGCACGGCAUCUGAUGCACUUCAGUGCCUCGACGUGGGGUUUCUCAUGGUUUUUGCCACCGGCUGGGGAAAUCCAGUGGCCCCAAGAGUUCUAUGAGUGUCAGAGCGAGAGUUUGACCCUAGCAUCACUUCUUUUCCCAACUGUGAGGCUUCUGCAAUCGCAGAUGCCCGAUCGCAAAUCCCUCACCAUAUACCUGGGCUGACAAGGUAAACCUGUCUGACCAACCAGGUUUUUUCGAUAGAUGACUCAACGCAAGUUUUAUAACUAGCAAGUCCUACCAAGACCACUUGCCAUUAUCAAUCGUGUGCGAGAGAAUCAAAACCUAACUUUAUAUCCAAUCUUGGAUUGCUUUGAAUGUUCUUCAGAGAUCUCCGAGAGAGCUUUUCAAAGUCACGAAACUCUGGUCAACUUCUUCUGAAAGCAUUUUCCUUCUCUAUCGCAGCGAUAUUUUGCGCCUGGAAACGUUGGUGUUGGUCGUUCACAAGAGAAAAACUAAAUCGAUCGAAAAUCGCUCGGCAGCCAAACAGCGGCCUCAUGGACGAAGCUUCACAGCUACCAUGUUGAAACGUUGAUAAUAGCAGUCUUAUAUAAAACACAAGAAAACGAACAUAAUCUUUGAAAAAAGAAACACACAGCUAAUUCUUCCACAUGCCGAUUGCGUGAGUUUUGGCUAAAGGCCUUGAUACUAUUUUGUCCUAGAGAACUAUCACUCUCGAGAAACAAAGAAAAACAAAGGGAAAGCAAAAGAAAAGCCGUGUGAUCUGCCUAUCGUCAAAUCAUUCGAGAACCUUACCUGCAUUUCAUCGGCUGUUUCUCGCUUCGUGGAAUCAAGACAAACCAAGGAAGUUGAGUUUCGCAGAAAACAAAUCCUAAGAAGAACAAUGGUCCUUAUUUUUAUCCGAUGAUGUAAUGUAUGAUGCCUUUUUCGGUGCAGGGUAGUCUAAAAACCAAAGGAGGUUUGUAAGUAACAGCAGCAGGCAAUGUUUCCAGUGAAUGUAGAGGAUAGGAUUCUAGUGUUCUUGCAUGUAAAAGCUCUGCUGCGUGCAAGAUCUGUGUGCCACAGGUGGAAAGUAGUGAUUGACAGUAAGGAAUUUGCGAAAGCCAAGGUAGAGACGUCCAGACAGCAUCCACUCGUCCUUGAAUGCACACAACAUGUACAACGCCACUGCCUGUCCUUAAGGAUCUACAAUCCUUUCACUGGCGAUGAUGCAACUGUUUUGCCACUGCCAGAUCCAGAUUUUCUCCCCAACUGGGAGCCCGUUGCCUCUGCCGGUGGCCUGCUUUGUUUCUCCGACCGCUUUCUUUCUGGUGCACAAGAAGGGAAGUUUGGAGUGUGGAAUCCCCUCAAGCGUAACUCAUUUGUCGAGCUGCCAGGUAUAUCGCCCAUCAGAUUCAAAGCAAACAUGAAAGUCUCAGCUGACGACCUCUCCUACACGAUCUACUCCCCAGCAGGGGGGGGCAUUGACGUGUUCGACUCGUUGACCUGGUCGUGGCGGCGCCACCAGGAGUACUCGCCGCCAGAUGGCUGGGCCUUGUGGAUGAGGUCAGCGCCAUACACAUGGCUACUGGAGGGCAGCACUGCAUACUUCGUCGGCGUGAAGGGUCAACAAUUUGGCGUGAUAGGCUGUGAGCUGGGAUCAAAUCGGUGUUGGAUUGAGCAUGAAUGGAACAUUGCUCCUGAAAACAUGGAGUUACUUCAGGCUAUUGUACGGCAUGACAAUGGUGAUAUGAUCGUCUUUAUUUCGGAGACAGGGUUUGUUUCAAGGCCCGGUAGUUUGGAGAGGGUGCACAAUUUCGUUUGUCCUCAAGGAUCGUUUCGAGGGGAAUUAGUAACCGUCUUUACUGGGAUACAACACAAGUCCCUCUACUUGUGUACAGGUUAUUUCAGCUUUAUGAACCUAACAUUUGAUUAUAGAAACAAAGAGUGGAUAGAAUCGAUCAGACAAGUCAGGGAAUUAGAAUUGCAUCCCAAAAGACGCUUUGUUUUACCUUAUGUAGCCACUUUAAUUUGAUUUUUGUUUACUUUAUACUACAUUUGUGAUUGGCAAUGUGAGACAGGGAGAAACUGAACAAACAUCAACAAAGCUGUUCAAGAUCUUUCACAUCACAUUUGAUAAUGGAUGUUGCCAAUUGCUUAGAGAAUCAUUACAGAGUUGGAUCGCUCUGCGUAGUAGCCGAUACCGAAAGAAACAAGCAUCUAACCCUGGUAUGAUGAACAAGCAAGGGUAUAGACUUUUCCCGCCCGGACCUCACACCGCCUCCAAAUUCCAAUGGAUAAUUUCCCUCAUCGACGGACGCCAGCCCCCAUUCCAAUCCGGCUAAAUCCAGCUUAGUGUUACGAGGGUUUGGUCCUUCCCUUGCCGCCCAGCUUUCUUUGGCACCCCAGGUAUGGCUUCUUGCCUCGAUUCGGUCCAAUGUAGGGUACAUUUCGAUCUAAUCUACUCGCAAUUUACUAGCUCGAUCGAGUGGAGCUUUUCCAUCUUUCCUCGCCGCCAAGCGUUCUUCGAUACUCCAGGUAUGAUUUCUUGCCUCGAUCUGGUCCAAUGUAGGCUACAUUUCGAUCUAAUAUCGCAAUCGAGGGUUUGCCAGUUCUUUCCUUGCCGUCAAGCGUAUCCUGGUAUGGUUUCUUGCCUCGAAUCGGGAUAUAAUAUCGCAAUCUACUAGCUCGAUCAAUUGAAGCACGGUUUUCCCAAGUGCCAAAGCUGUUCUUUCCCCGCUGCCAAGCAUUCUUCGAUACUCCAGGUAUGUUGUAUGCAUCCAUCGAUCGUAAUAUCCUCUGGAGAUUCUCUAACGGAAACUGUGAUUAGGUGGCAAGAUGAAGAGACCGCCGAUGCGACACAAGGUAGAGCGACCGAAGAAAGUGAUCAUCGUUGAGGAAGGGAUGGGGAGAAGAUUUGUGAAUCUCAAGGAAGUACCUACUGCUCCUCCGCUUGAGGUUCUUGUCAUUCUCCAGAUGAUAGAGCUUGGCAUCAUCGAACGAGAUAUUUGGCAUCCAAUUCUUUCAAGUUUUGGAGAGAACGUACCACCAGCCGGGCACGAGUUUUGGGUGGCUUUGUGCGAGCUGGCUAAGUAAGUUAUUGUUUCUUUUCUUCUUUGGUUUUGUUAGUAACUUUUGGCUUUUCCAAAGGAAUAUUUCGCGAUGGAAGAUUGUGCGAUGACCACUGUUAGAGCGCAGGCUCCACUUGUACGAGGUGGAAGAUUGUUUUGUAGUGUUUUUGAGACUAACCUUCACUUUUGCCAGGUUAUAUGGCAAUGCUUCCAAAAGCUCUUGUCUCUCUUAUGCAAGAAGCUGGAUGCCGGGAUAAGGAAUUCUGGCCAGAUGACUACAAGCUGGUUGACAUUGCAAAACGGAUGUGUGACAAAUAUGAUGCAAUGAUCCCCCCUGUAAGUCAUUCUGAUUUGAUUCACUAAAUGGCUUUUGUUUUUUUCUUUUGUUGUGUUUGUGCAGGAAAUUGCUGUUCAGCCAAAACAUGUGGAGGAGGAAGACUUCACAGCAAAAGAGUACCCCUACAGAGCUUGUAAGAUACUUCGAGGUUUUCUGGGGGAGAGGACGAUCCAGCUACAUGUUCCACAACCGGAAACGGCUUUUUACGACGACAAGUAUCAUAACUGAAUUGGGGUUGGGAUCUAAGGAUUGGGUUUUUUUUUUAUGGAAGGUACCUCACGACUACACCUCUAGAAGAUUUCUCAGGUGUCCGGACUGAAGUACCGGUUGCUCUUAAGCUUGAUGACGAGAAUCUGGAAGCCUUGGAGGAUCUCCUUAGUUAUACAAUAUGGAGUUUCAGGGAGGGUCUUCCAAUUUUGGUUCCACAUCUUCACGCACUUUGAGGUACUGUGGAAUUCUAAAAGCUAGAACUGGAAUUCUAAAAGCUCUUUCUCUUUUUUUGAAGCAAUGCAAUUGAAGCAUUGGCCUCGAGGCGUUAGCAUCUUGGGAAAACAAGCCGUGGAAAAAAAAUCACAUUUUAGAAGAGAGGGGCAGGUUAACUGCGGGAACGAUAGUUCACACCAGUUGGAAUUAAGUAUCAUAUAUAUGGUACGAACAUCACUGGCCUCUGGAGGUUUGGAUCAAUUGUUUCUCUUAGUGGAAGCUACUAGUGAUGCUAACCGGCCAUCUACUGUAAGUGAUGGUUUCUUUUGGUUUGCUUCUUUGUUUCUCCAGGCCCUUGCAAGCGUGAGUGAUGGUUUCUUUCUCCAUCACUGUUGGAAGCGUGAGAUGGUUUAUUUCUUUCUUUUUUCCUUGGUUUUCCUUCAUCGAUGGUUUGGUUCUUUAACAUUGUUUCUCCAGGCUUUCAAUUUUGUGUCACUCAUUGCUGGCAGCCCCAAAGACCAGCGAAACUGUAACGGACCUCUUAAUAAGCAGUGCUAUCAUCCUCCAGGAGGGAGAUGGCAGCGGUGGUGCUGAGCUUCCUAAAGUUCUAAAUAAAAGCUUCCAGCUGGAAGAGUGCUCAAGACCUCAAGCAUGAGUUUGAGGAUGAGUAUAUGGUUUCCAAAUUGGACACACCACCUUUGGUUGUUCCAAAAAUCCCUUUUCAAUUGGAAGAAAAAGACUUAGAACCUAAGAGUUCGUUUUCUUUCCUGGUUUUUGGCUCUGUAAUCGUUUUCUCAAGUGUCAACUAUAUAGCUGCGAUCGAUCCAUAGGACGACCUCAAGAGAAAAAACUGCCAUUACUUGAAAAAUAUGUCUUGCAUGUAACAGGUUAUCUGGAAAGGUGGUAUGCUCGUCCUUUUAGUGAACGAAGUCUGCUGAGGUGUCACUUACUUGUGUUCCUGUUGCUUCUAUUUCCCUCAGACUAAAGGUCGCGUGUUCCAACGCAAAAGGUAAACAAAACGUUGAACCACUCUUCUAAACAAAAAUCAUAUCACCAUUGUCAUGCUCGAUCCAGCACUGGUUGACCCUAUCACACCAAACAGUUGGACUGUGCCCGAAGUUGGCAGUGCUGCCCUCCAAUAGCCGCUGGCGCGUACUACCACAACCAGGUCAAUGAGUCAAAUAAAGUCAAUCACCUCAAACAUCAACUUUGGGGUGAGCUUGGGACCAAAGCAUUGAUCAUAAAGCAUGACUGCAAAGAAGAUGGUGGUGUGGCGAGUGUGAAGCUUGGAGCAAGAUUUCAACAACUCACGAAACACUUCCAUUUUUGCAUUCAUGCUGCACUGCUAGACCAUAAACAGCAUAUAGAUAGAUAAGUAGAGAGUUCUUCAGCUGAGACUUCCGUCUGUGAUCUACCUGGCAGCACCACAAAUGAGUUCCGCUUUAGGGGAUUCCACACCGCAAACCUCCCGCUGUUUACACCCCUCGAGGCGGAGAAACAAAGCAGGCCACCGGCGUAAGCAACGAGCUCCCAGUCCGGAUCUUGCAAAACAGCUGCGUCGCUGCUACUGAAAGGAUCGUAGAUCUUUAAGGACGACAAACAGUAGUGUUGGACAUGAUCUUGUGUAUAUUCAAGAACGAGUGGAUGCUGCCUCGAAAUCUCUAGCCUGGAUUUGGCAAACUCCUCACUGUCAAUCACUGCUCUCCAUCUGUGGCACACAGAUCUUGCGCGUAGUAGAGCUUUUACAUGCAAGAACAUUAAAAUCCUCUCCUCUACAUGCUCUGGAAGCAUACCAAAAGCUAGCAACCCUGAGGCAUAUUCUAGACAUAAUUAUAAUAAUCCCACAAUUUUAGAAUAUUCCUUUCAAUGCUAAACCCUAAAUCCUCGCAAAAUGGGGAGAAAGGGCACCGUGACGCCUCUGGCGGAGCUUCUCCCCGUGGGCGAGCUAGCGCAGGCCAGCGAUCGCAUCCAGGGCGCCAUCCGCGAGCACGCCGACAAGCUCCAGCAGCUCCAAUCUUUCGCCGACGACAAUCGCGCCAUCCACAAGCUCGUCCAGGAGCUCCCACACAAUGUCGCUUACAAUAUCAUGGUGUGUAUCUCUUUUCCAUCCAUUUGACGAUCCAUCCAUCCAUCGUAGGUGCCGUUUGGAAAAGCUGCCUUCUUCCCUGGAAAGCUUGUUCAUACCAAUGAAAUGCUGGUAAGAAAUUCGCGUUGCUAUUUACACGUCUUUCUCCUUAGUCCAGGUUUUGCUCGGAGAAGGCUACUACGCAGAGCGAUCCGCGAAGCAAACUCUGGAACUCUUAAUGAGACGAGCAAAGUUUCUCGACUCCAACAUCGAGAGCAUCAACUCGCAGAUCGCUGACCUUCGAGCGGAGGCCACUUUCGCAAGCACUGCUGCCGAAGAAGCUGCUGUAAGUUUGUUUCUUCCUCUUCUAUCUCUCACGCAUUCGACAAAUCCACAACCGUGGUUAGGCUGGCGUAGUGGACAUCAGAGAAGAAUACGAUGAAGAAAUCGAUGGUCCACCCCCCACUGCGGAGCAAAGUCUAGAAACCCAAGGUGUAAAGUUUACAUGGAUUUUUCCCGUAAGCUAUUUUACUGAUUCAUGAUUUUGGCAGGGAAAAGGCCGCUGGGAUCUGGUGAAGAUCUCGAGCAUGAGCGCUUGAUGGCACGAUUUUCGGAAUUGGAAGCCGAAGAAGCGGCAGCAGCGGCUAAAGAAUAUGAGGAUGAGUAUGAUCAAGAUGGUUUUCUAGAUGAUGACACUCUUGCGAAAAUGGGAACACCAUCUUCUGAGCCGGAAGGACCUCCUGCCAUCACAAAUCCGGGCGAUCUCGUAAACGUAAGUUUUUGAGCCUCGAUUGUUUUGUUUUCGAACAGCCUCUGAUAGAACUUCUCCUUUUUUUGUCCAGUUUGAGAUGUGGAAGCAAAAGACUUGGAACAAAACGUCUACGUCUACUCCAGAUCGUCCCGAGAAGCGAAAUCACGACAAGAAAGCGGAAAAGCGCGUCACUUUUGAUCUUCCCGAGGCCGAUAUCGUCGACACGGUGCACGAAACCGAAGGGAACAAGGCUAUGGAUCCACAGAGCCGACGAAGUUCCCAGCAUGAGCCAUCAAAGGUAAAUUUGUAGAGCUUAAGAAAAAAUCUCAAAAAGAAGUUUUUUGUUUCCAGGUAUUUGGUUCUGUGAUCGAACGAACACCAGGAGGUGCUGUUCUUGAUACCAAGGUAAGCUUUAACAUUUCUCUCAAGCGUCAACUUAUACAGCUACGAUCAAUCCAGGUACCCGAAAGCACCUCCAUGCCGGCAAGGCCAGUUUCAAGAUUCAAGCAAAGACAUGGUGGAUGAAAAUCGCUGCAAAGUAGGAGAGUGUAGUUGUUUUGGAUAACGCGAAGAGAGAAAAUUCCCGUAUCUUCGUUUUCCCGAUCCUUUCUUGCGCUUUUCCUUCGCUUCUUUCCCCUAUUUCCCCCGCAGACUGAUCGAUAUGCGCGUCGCCGCCAUCGGCCGGAUGCAUUCCAAAUCUCCGCGAUUAAUUCUUUCUCUUCGAGCUCACGCUCUCUAACUGCCCCAUAGUGUUAUGCUUCUGCAAGCACCCAAAAUCAAGACUAUACACCGGGAAACUGUACAAGCUCCAUCAUCCAUUCUCGCUGACAUCAAGAUUUAAAUCAAUGAUAUCGAGGCCAUAGUCACCACUUAAAUCCUUUCAAUACGGGACCUUGUUGGAAUAGAGCAUUAUUAUCAGACAAGUGAUCAUCGAUGCGAAUUGCUGCGACAAGUUCUUUGGUGACUUGACGGGAUAAAGAAUGUCAAAUGCUGGAAUUGGCAACCACAAGUAGCUUAAAUUUCUUCGCAAGCAAAAAAUUGUGAGUUUUUUCUCCUCUCCCUCUCCUCUCAGGAACCCUAACCCUCACUAGAACUUCCAUUUCACAUGCAAAGCCAAGCUUGGCGUGGGACUUUUCCAACCCAGACUGAAAGGCUUAGCAUUUAAUAGCUCCUGCACCAAGCCAAAAUUUAACGUGCAACUUCACACUAAGGCCAUUAUAUUGGACAUGUACUUCUCCUGAAACUGAUAGUCAUGGAAAAGUCUGAGCGUGAGGCCUCGUGCUAAAGCCAGUCACCUUUCUUAUUGCCAUGAAAAAGUCUAAGUGUGAGGACUUGUGCUAAAGCCAAUCAUUUUUUCUAUUGCCAUAAGUGUGAGGCCUUGUGUUAAAGAUAGUCGCCUUUACUGAAACAAUAGCCAGAAAAAAUCUAGCGUGAGGCCUUGCACUAAAGCUAGUUACCUUUCUUGAAACUAAUAGCUGAGAAAAAUCUAAGCCUAAGGCCUCACGCUAAAGCCAGAACAAAAGCACAAAACAAAAAAAUUCUUUAGAAUGAGGCCUUGCACCAAUGUUUUAACUUAAGGCCCUGCACUAAGUCUUUUGGUGAAGCCUUUAGCAUAAGGCCUCAUGCCAAGAAAAGCCUUCAUUGCAUCAGCACACCUAAAACCCACCCACAAAGUAUGGUGUCUGACCUCAGGUAAAAACCUUAGCAUGAGGUCUCAUGCUAAGCAAACACCUUCCAUUAUUUCCCUAGUCUUGCAAGUGUUUGGGGAGCAAUCUUGUUCAAACAUUUACCCCAAAGAUGAAUUAAGAUUACUCACCUAGACACCUAAAGUAAUAAGAAACAAAUGCAUAUAAAUGAAUAACAUGAGGCCUCAUGCCAAGAAAAUGACUUCAUCCCUCCAUAAUACCUUAAUUUAAUUUGCAAAUGGAUGGUGUCCAACCUCACACAAAAACCUUAGUGUGAGGCCUCACGCUAAGAAAAAAAGCCCACCCACCUCCUCUAGCCUAGUGAAAUCUCCUUUGCAUGUAUGUUUAUUGCACAAAUGAAUAAGAUUGUCACUAAGAAACUGGGAAAAAUAUCACAAGCAAUCCUAAGUGUGAGGCUUUGUGCUAGUAACCUCCAUUAACACAUUGUGAUUGGACUCAUGCUUAAGGAUUAGCGUGAGGCCUCGUGCUAAAGUGCUAAAAGGAUUUUGGUUUGUCUAGUUUCUUGAUGGUAAUCUUGCUUGAACGUCUGUCCAUAGGACGAAUGGGCAAGUAAGAUUAUUAUCAAGGAAUUGGCAAACACAUCCCAUCCAUUCUUAGGUGUGAGGCCUUAUGCUAAUAAAUUACCUCCACUACCCUUUUAUACACCCCAUCCAUUCUUGAGCCCUCAUGCUAUUAGAAUUACUUCCAUUACCCCUUUCACUUAGGGUGAGGCCUCACACUAGGAUCCAAUUUAAAAAAUAUUUAAGUAAUUCUAAUAAGUUCUUUCGUGUUUCUAGGCACAACAAUCUAAAACACUUUUACAUGAGUUUAUCAGAGUGAAAAAAGACUGCAAUUCCAUUAUAAAUGACUAAAUUUUCCAUUCUACUUUAGUCAUUUAACCACACCUCCAACCAUUUGAAAGAGUUUCACUCACAACCUCCAUAAGUCUUAUUUUGGACUUGGGGCUUGCUAGCUUUGAGAAUGGCAUCCCUACCACUCAACCUUUGCACCUGGUUUAAGUGCUCCAUGUAUCCGAUUUCAUGACUGACACACAAAAGUACCACCGACAUAUUAGCCUAUUAUGCUAAGGCCAUGCCCAUUCACCUUUAUCACACUGGUGAUCCAACACCACCUACAUCACAAUCUUGUCUCUUAAAGACAGAUGAGUGAUCAUCCCAAAUCCAUUCUUUAACAUCCUUAGGAUGCCUAUAGAUAUAGGGAAUAGUCUUCCUCAAUAUCCUUUUUUUUUGUCCCCACCAAGUCUUAUUUUGUCCAUGGCUGUGUUCGCCAACACUGCCACUGGGUCAAGGCCCACAGGCUUGACCACUAAGUCCUAUUGUCCUCUAGAACUUCCUCACUAUGUGUAGCGCACGUGGUUUUGACCCUUUGUCCUAUGAUGAUUUACCAUAGGAUAACACCACGAAGCGGAACUUAAACCCUCUUUGUGCCACGUGACAGAUGCCACGUGUCACAUGCCACGUGUCCAUAGGAACCCGAGGUUCAGGGCCUUGGGCCACUGAACGAACGAUGCCAAACUCCCAAGCGUGGAGCCAAGGAGUGAUGGAACCGAACCACGGAGUAACUCUUGAGCAUACAGCCCAAGGAGCGAAGGGACAGGGGCCCGGAGCGACUUGGAACAGUCCUAGAGCAACCAGCAUCCCAAUGCCAGGACCAGCACGCAAAACGGAGCCAAACGGAGUUUGACGCUAUUUCAGCAUACCAGUGGCCUAACGUGAGGAUAUGGGUACUCCACCAGCUAGCAUGGAAUGGAACUUGGGCUUAGACCCAAGCCGGACGCAGAACAAGGACAAGCACGCAAGCGAGAGCUAGACUAUGCCUCAGGUUGGUCAACCAUGCCCGACCUACCCACUAUCCCUACUAUACAUUUAGAACCCCCCAUAGCCCCCCCCCCCCCCUUGAGGAACACACGCUUUGGGCUUUCACCCCAAGCCUCCCUUAGUAUCAGGAGUUAGUCUCUGGGACAAGCUCAAAACUUAUUAAAUAUGGAAUGUCCCUAGAUUGCGAAUUUGGACAUGGGACGAACACCAUUGUGUUCAGAAUGAUCUCUACAUUCCGUAGAUAUGCCAAAUGAGCAAAUCUGGACACUUUCCAUAAAUAGCAUCUGGGACAAUUUGAGACUAACACAAAGGGCAUGAUAGCGAGGGUGUUUGGCAGACACGGUAAGCUAUCAUGUAGCGAUAUUGAGGGACCAAUCUCAAUACGCGAGGGUUCUUGUCAAGCCAGUGCAAGACAGAGCAAAAGAAAACUAACAAGCCGGGCCGAGUAUGCUCAGCUAAAUAGACACUUAAGAAUUCCUUCCUUAUGCUCAUCCGGCCAAAUACAGAUGCAAAGUCCAGUUUACUAACACUUGAACAAGAGGGACUAAUAAAGGGUCCAGCAAUACCGACCUCCUGCUAUCGUGGCAGUAAGGUAAGAGUGUCCGUAAGGACUAGCCGACAGGUAACUUUCGAUACCCGAAGUCACAUUCGCGACACUCUCCCCCCCUAGAGAAGAUCGACGUCCUCGUCGAUGCAUACUCCAGUCUAGAAUACCGCCAAGGAAACAACUCCAUAAAAAGUUCACGGUACUCACACUAUGUGAGAAAUGCACCAACUUAAAUGAGUUAGGGGGCAACCUCUUUGUCUAACACGGAUGCGCUACCAGCUCAGACACCUUCCGGCCGUCGCCGACAAGGAAAUGACCAACGAAGUCAGCCACCCUUGCUGCUCUGGGGGUCACCCAGCUACAAAAGUGUGAUAUGCCCCUGCCCGCAGGAACAUAGAGAGAGAAACCAGAGGCCCCAACCCUCCUAAGCAAAGAAACUAAACCCGUUGGUAAGGUUUAGAUAGAUUACUGUAAACAGGCAGUUAGAGUUGUUUACACGGUCACGCCCUUUCAACGGAAUAAGGAACAUCGACAGAGAGGCGGGUUAUGUGACCAGUCGACAGUAGCUACCCCAUGACUAGAGAUUUCAACAUGCACACGAAGUGCCGAAGCCAGUCUGCCUAUUACUGGCCCAAACUCAAAGAUCAAUAGAUGGACAAUAUCAAAGUCAUAGACAAUGAUAUCUUAGAGUCGGAAUUAUCAGUGAAUAAAUCUUAUAUUAGAACAAAAGUAUUCCAAGUAAGGUAUUAUCUGAUAAACUAGGAUUACAGCAUAGGAACCACCAAGAUCAUCAUAAUUGAUAAACAUAGGAAUCACCAUCCAACAAAUUCAAUAGCAAGUAGAUCAUCAAGGAAACUCAAUGAUAAAACUUAGCUACCGAAAAUGGCAGAUAGCAUGCUAAACAACUCACAAAACACAACUCAAAGAACACAAAGUAUCAUUGACUAACAAGCACAAUGCUCGCGAAUGUAUCACCUGAAGGAAAUAACAUCCUAAUCUAUGAAAACUAACUCAAGCAAUAAUCAACAGAACAAAAUGAAUGUUGCAAAGCAAACAAACGCUUAUUCAUAUUAACCAUUGCACUAGCCAAUCCGGAUAGAUCCCAGCCAAUAACACCAAGGAACUCAAGUUGCCUAAGCAAGUGUCAGCAACAUCCUACUGAUGUCUCAACCCAAGAGACCAAUCCAGAGCAAACCACAAAGAACAUGUGGUAUUGCGAAAAGCCAUAAGCCAUCAAAGAGAACAACUAACCAUCAUGAAAGAUCAUCAAUCAUCCCAUCAAUAAAGAGAUGCAUAAUCAUCGUCUAAGAAGGAAUCCACCAUCCCGAAGAACGGCAAACCAAUCUAUACCAACAAUAAUCAAGCAAAACUUUUUUUUUUUUUGACAAGGAUAAUCAACUAUCCUAGAUGAUAGUCAAUCAUCACCAAUGAUUGCUAGAUGCAAAUACUAACUUCAACAUCGAAGCUAGGAGCCAAAAUGCCUUUCCCAACAACUUCUAACAAAUGGAACAAUGAACAUAAAACUCAAAGAACCAAAAGCUUGAAGAAGCCUAUAGCCAUAUCUUGUCUAACAAUGAUCACAGGUCUUGCAUGAACCAACUUCAAUGUUAAAGAAGAAAUCAUGGUGCAACCCACAAUAUCCUCCUCAACAUAUUCAUAAGCCAAACUUUAUAAUGCAAAGCUAAUGAAGAGCAUUUCUGCAUCAAUCCAAAAGCUAAGCAUAGCAAAGUUAUGCUCAACAAGUGAUCACCAAACGAUCCUCCAUGAAUCCAUCUAUAGCAAGACGUAGCUCACAUCGUAACAAGCACAAGGGGAAUCAUCAAUGAUCAAUAUAUUCCAAUUCAAACCCAAUAAAGAUUCAAACUUUCCAAUAUUGAUCACUAACUCUUUUGCUUGUAGAGUUAGCAUAGUCCACGACUAAAUCACUUUUCAAGGAAAAGCUAAAGCUCAACCCUCUACUAAAUAAUCUCGUCUAGAAGACAACUAACUCAACUUGCCACUCAGUUCAUUUGAACGUUAACACAGUUGCUAACUAGCAAUUGNNNNNNNNNNNNNNNNNNNNNNNNNNNNNNNNNNNNNNNNNNNNNNNNNNNNNNNNNNNNNNNNNNNNNNNNNNNNNNNNNNNNNNNNNNNNNNNNNNNNNNNNNNNNNNNNNNNNNNNNNNNNNNNNNNNNNNNNNNNNNNNNNNNNNNNNNNNNNNNNNNNNNNNNNNNNNNNNNNNNNNNNNNNNNNNNNNNNNNNNNNNNNNNNNNNNNNNNNNNNNNNNNNNNNNNNNNNNNNNNNNNNNNNNNNNNNNNNNNNNNNNNNNNNNNNNNNNNNNNNNNNNNNNNNNNNNNNNNNNNNNNNNNNNNNNNNNNNNNNNNNNNNNNNNNNNNNNNNNNNNNNNNNNNNNNNNNNNNNNNNNNNNNNNNNNNNNNNNNNNNNNNNNNNNNNNNNNNNNNNNNNNNNNNNNNNNNNNNNNNNNNNNNNNNNNNNNNNNNNNNNNNNNNNNNNNNNNNNNNNNNNNNNNNNNNNNNNNNNNNNNNNNNNNNNNNNNNNNNNNNNNNNNNNNNNNNNNNNNNNNNNNNNNNNNNNNNNNNNNNNNNNNNNNNNNNNNNNNNNNNNNNNNNNNNNNNNNNNNNNNNNNNNNNNNNNNNNNNNNNNNNNNNNNNNNNNNNNNNNNNNNNNNNNNNNNNNNNNNNNNNNNNNNNNNNNNNNNNNNNNNNNNNNNNNNNNNNNNNNNNNNNNNNNNNNNNNNNNNNNNNNNNNNNNNNNNNNNNNNNNNNNNNNNNNNNNNNNNNNNNNNNNNNNNNNNNNNNNNNNNNNNNNNNNNNNNNNNNNNNNNNNNNNNNNNNNNNNNNNNNNNNNNNNNNNNNNNNNNNNNNNNNNNNNNNNNNNNNNNNNNNNNNNNNNNNNNNNNNNNNNNNNNNNNNNNNNNNNNNNNNNNNNNNNNNNNNNNNNNNNNNNNNNNNNNNNNNNNNNNNNNNNNNNNNNNNNNNNNNNNNNNNNNNNNNNNNNNNNNNNNNNNNNNNNNNNNNNNNNNNNNNNNNNNNNNNNNNNNNNNNNNNNNNNNNNNNNNNNNNNNNNNNNNUUCUUAGAAAAGCGCAACAACCACUUUUCUACACCAACUCCAGACUCUAUCCAACUCAAUUGCUUUAGCCCCAAAAGUUAGCAUCCCUUUCGGGUCGCAUCAUACAAACUAUCUACCAAGGUCUAAGCUAACCAAAGUCAACUCUAACCCCUUUACUAGUUUGUAUUGGCUUACGAAAACGGAAUGGUUUUCGAGCAAAGUGAUCAAUAGAUCAGCCAUUGGAAAAGUCUAAGAAAAUUUGUGGAAAAUUUUCCAUCCUAAAGAAAGAAUGACUCUCAAUCCAGAAUUGCAAACUUUCAAGACUCAACCACUUCCUCCUACUAACAAUUCCACAUAGGUUCACCUCAACACAAGUUCUCAUGAUCCAAAAAUAUGCUUAAGCAUCGAACAUCUUUGCCCAUCUAACCGAUAUCCAACAUCGACACCCGCAAAGUGCAAAAUGAACAUCUAAAGCUUGAUCACGAAGACCACAUCAUCGGAUAUCCACAUUGCACUAACACUCUUCUUCAACCACCUUCAAGAUCCAAUGUGAAGCCAAAACACUAACAAGAAAAAUGACAUGGAAAAUCAAGCUCUAAGGAAAAUUCCUCAUCACUCGAAUCAACAAUGCCACUUCCACUAACACAAGUGCUAGCGAUGUCAAUGCGUCAACCUCACACCUUCUCCAUCCAAUAAUCUACUCCAAGUGCUAACGGAUCAACAGAUGAGCUAUAGCAAAUGAAUGCUACAACCCAUUCCCAACACCUUAAUGGGCAAACUCAAGGAACAAAGUACCAACUUAAGCUUAGCAUAAUGGAUCACCAUUGAGAAUCUAGUCAAAGCUACUACAAUGCUACUUCGUGCAAGUAGACUAGCUUCUCCAUCAACCACUUUGGGGUUGAUCAUCAUUUACCCAAGCAACUUCGUAAACACAUUGCUCAUUAUCACAUGGAUAUGAUAUAAAUCACAAUGACUUGAUCAUCAAUCAAGCAACACUAUAAGCAAUGCCCAUGUCACUACUGCAAAGGUUUAUGUGAAUAUCAAGUGCUAACUCGAUUUGACAAAAUGCAACAUAAAUGCCACACCCCAUCAAUAGAGAUUUACAACACCUAACACCACUAACUUUUGUUCACAACACGGACAAGCUCAUGCCACUAUCUUUCCGACCAAACUCAACACUAAUCCAACACCAAGCUACUCAAGGAGCAAUAGCAAGGUUUCUCGAAAAAGAAUUGAGCAUUGCAACCCAAGUCUUCCAAUAACAAGCUUAGACAAAAUGGUUUAGCGCUUCACUGCUAUCCAUCCCACAACUCACCAUUGUAAAACCACCAUCUCCAACAUGCAUCAAGAUAGGGACUCUUGAUUGCAUGAUGUGAACACAAGCAAUGAGUUAACACCUCGUUGCAGAUCAUCUCUCCAAGAAGAGAAAAUGAUUUACGUAUUUGAUCCUUCGUCCCCGAUGACUCUCUUUUCGGUCUCAUCUUUGACCAAACUUUAAGCUUGCUUUCGCACUGCCUUCAGUUUAAUCGAAGAAAAGUUUAUGAGAAAGCACGGCCAUGACUACUUGAACCAAUAGACUAAUCCCUAUGGUCUUAAUUGUUCCACUUAUAAUCAUGCCUAGGAAGGAUCCACUAGUGCCAUGCUAAACAGCUACGGACCAGCCUAUUUGCCACUCAUAGCAAACCUAGGGAGGUUUGCUUUCACCCAUGGUACAUGGAACAACUUACGGAACCACUGGAACCACCGAUAGGCUUACAUCAAUCCUGCCAACUCAAAGUGUAACCUCAAGUUGCUAAUGCGCCUCACUCACGAGCCCAAGCUCAAACUCGUGCAAACGGAACAUCUCCAAACCAUCCUAUGAGCCCAAGCGCAAGCUCACAUCAUAAGGUACAACAAGGUAACCCAAAACCUAUCCCAAGGAACCAAUGCGAAGUCUUUGCACCAAAACGUGUACCCACUCGGAUCAUUGUUUUCAUCUCUGCGUAUGCAACGAGAAUAGUUGCCCAAUCUCAUUGGAUAGUACUCGCCGAGACUCAUUCUCUGAUACCAAAUGUAGCGCACGUGGUUUUGACCCUUUGUCCUAUGGUGAUUUACGAAGCGGAACCUAAACCCUCUUUGUGCCACGUGACAGAUGCCACAUGUCACAUGCCACGUGUCCAUAGGAACCCGAGGUUUAGGGCCUUGGGCCACUGAACGAACGAUGCCAAACUCCCAAGCGUGGAGCCAAGGAGUGAUGGAACCGAACCACGGAGCAACUCUCGAGCAUACAGCCCAAGGAGCGAAGGGACAGGGGCCCGGAGCGACUUGGAACAGUCUUAGAGCAACCAGCAUCCCAAUGCCAGGACCAGCACGCAAAACGGAGCCAAACGGAGUCUGACGCUAUUUCAGCAUACCAGUGGCCUAACGUGAGGAUAUGGGUACUCCACCUGGAAUGGAACUUGGGCUUAGACCCAAGCCGGACGCAGAACAAGAACAGGCACGCAAGCAAGAGCUAGACUAUGCCUCAGGUUGGUCAACCAUGCCCGACCUACCCACUAUCCCUACUAUACAUUUGGAACCCCCCAUAGCCCCCCCCCCCCCCUUGAGGAACACACGCUUUGGGCUUUCACCCCAAGCCUCCCUUAAUAUCAGGAGUUAGUCUCUGGGACAAGCUCAAAACUUAUUAAAUAUGGAAUGUCCCUAGAUUGCGAAUUUGGACAUGGGACGAACACCAUUGUGUUCAGAACGAUCUCUACAUUCCGUAGAUAUGCCAAAUGAGCAAAUCUGGACACUUUCCAUAAAUAGCAUCUGGGACAAUUUGAGACUAACACAAAGGGCAUGAUAGCGAGGGUGUUUGGCAGACAUGGUAAGCUAUCAUGUAGCGAUAUUGAGGGACCAAUCUCAAUACGCAAGGGUUCUUGUUAAGCCAGUGCAAGACAGAGCAAAAGAGAACUAACAAGCCGGGCUGAGUAUGCUCAGCUAAAUAGACACUUAAGAAUUCCUUAUGCUCAUCCGGCCAAGUACAGAUGCAAAGUCCAGUUUACUAACACUUGAACAAGAGGGACUAAUAAAGGGUCCAGCAAUACCGACCUCCUGCCAUCGUGGCAGUAAGGUAAGAGUGUCCGUAAGGACUAGCCGACAGGUAACUUUCGAUACCCGAAGUCACAUUUGCGACACUAUGUGACCGUAUCCUUGGUCACUACACCAGAGGACUGCUCCUCUUCCUUUCCACAAUCUAGGGCUUUGGGACAACAUUCUAGAACACCGUGGCUCUAUGUGAGCCUCAUAAGUACUCUCCCCACUUUCUGCCUUUGGGUGCUCUAGCCAUGGGACUAGAGUGAGUUUUUGUUGAGCCACACCAGGUAUCUAAGUAGGUAGUGCCACCCACACUUGGAUUGGGAGCAUUGAUCAUUUGAUCUCCUGGGGGAGCUAGAGUCGGCUCUUGAACACUUCCCCAAGCUACCCUGCUUGUCUGUCCGUAUUCACUUUAGCUUUGGACUCCUCACUAGAUAUAUCAUCAACCAACACGUGGGCAAAACCUUCUUGGGUCACACUAGCCUUUCUUGGCCAAACUAGCUCUACUGGGUCUAACCCCCACACUCUCCCUAUUAUACUUUUGGAACCCCCUGGAGCCCCCCCCCCCCUCCCCUUGAGGAUGAUUGCUUUGGGCUUUCACCCAACAGCCUAUAUUAGUAUUCGGACUCGGACUUGGACUCGAUCUUGGUCCCAGUCUCGGUUCUAUCUCGGAUUCCAUCCCGGACUCCAUUUUGGAUUCUAUCCAAGACUCUAUCUCAGACUCCAUCUCGGGUCCAUCUUGGACUUCAUCUCGAACUCUUCCACGUGUCAUGUGUUGGUCCUCUUGUGUCCCUUUUUUAGAGACUCACUUAUUGCUCGCUUCGUGCUUGUUUCUCAAGCACCUCGUUAGGAGUUCCACUCUCACUCUCGACUUUUUGAGUCGGAGCUUUUAGUCCAAAUGUGUUACGCUCAUUUGGCUUCUGCCUUAGCCACUACCAUAUGGCACCCUUUUGGCUCCUCUUUGGGGCCUAGGGAUUUUGUAUCUCACAUCCACACUACCAUAGAAGUGGACAUUGGAGAUACAAAAUGACAAUCUAGUAUUGGUGGAUCUUACUAUAAGGAACCAACUCCCUGAGGUGUCAUAGGCUAAAAGGAUCCCCGAAAGCACAACUAAAUUGAUAAAGAGUUCAUUGGAUAGGAUUGAGUUUGAGAUCGAGUUCAAGACCAACUCUAAGACUGAGUUCAAGAUAGAGUCCAGGAUCGAGUAUGAGGUUGACUCCAAGACCGAAUUCAAGACCGAGUUUGAGACUGAGUUCGAGAUGGAGUCCGAGACCGAGUCCGAGGUUGAGUCCAAAGUCAAGUCCGAGAUCAAGUCCGAGACCAAGUCCAAGGUCAGGUCCGAGAUCAAGUCUGAUACUGAGUCCGAGUACUAAUACAGGUUGAGAGGUGAAAGCCCAAAGCGUGUGUCUCCCAGGGGGAGGGGGCUGCAGGGGGUUCUAAAAAUAUAGUAGGGAUAGUAAGGUCUAGGAACCAGUCUUGAAAGAACUCUCCGAGUACUAAUACAGGUUGAGAGGUGAAAGCCCAAAGCGUGUGUCUCCUAGGGGGAGGGGGCUGCAGGGGGUUCUAAAAAUAUAGUAGGGAUAGUAAGGUCUAGGAACCAGUCUUGAAAGAACUCUCCAGUGGUGUUUCCAAACUAACUUGAGGUUGAAACUAGGGUCGAGGGGCCUUGGGUGGGAGUGAGCAUGGACUUGGGUGGUGCUGGAGGGGCCACCCAAGGAAGUGCUCAAGAGCAGCUCCCACUUUCUGAAGGGAAACCGACUGCAGUGCUCCCGGCUCAUGUGGAAUGGUGCCCCACUUGAGUACCUUGUAGCUCAUUGGUGUAAGCUCCUGAGUUUGGACUUCCCGGGAGGUCACCCAGCCCAGUACUAUUCAAACCCAAGGACGCUUAAGCCAAAUAUCCCAAGACCCUUAACCGAUUGGAAAAGGGGGUGCACUCUUGUUCAUGGGCCCUUUCCCUCUAUAUUUGAACCCCAUGGAUCGUCUCUCAAGUCGUUCCCUUUAGUUGCUUACAAUUGGUCCUCAUGCUUGGGCCUUCACUUUAGGAUGGAAGUGGGGGGGUAGAGGUACCCAUAUCGGGUCGUUAGGCCAUGGUGUUUCCCCUCGGCGUCCCGAAGCAAGUGUUGCACCCAAGGCUUGGGAUUUAGAGGGUCUUAUGAUCAAGCCUUGUUGUACCAAGGGAUGUUAGAAACCUGGAGGCUUGGUGUGCUUGGCUGCUUGUGCCUGCAGGGAGUGUAGUCGAACUUUAAGUCCAAUUUAACUCGGGGAGGGGGAAUUGGGAGAGAUUUGGGAAUCCAUGGAUAGAUGGCUAACGCUUCGUUGCUUGUGCAGUGAGUAGCUGAAACCAAGUAGGACCAAAUAAGAGCUGGUACAAUAAGCAGGAGCCUUGGCAAGGGAAUUUAAGCAAAGGCCAAGGUAAUGUUGGUUAGAUAGACGAGGUAAGUUGGCAAAUUGAAAAAGAAAAAUUUGUAACUUACACUUACCAACCCAAAAAGUCCAAUAGUCUAUAGGAUUGUCAUCAAAGAAGAGGAGAUUCCUAACAAAGACAUAAACAAGGAAGGAGGGCCAUUUAUAUAGAGCUUCAAAAGACAUUCAUUAAGAAUAUCGUUCAAGACUCAAAGUUUAUUCUAUCAACUAUAAUACAGCUUGCAAAGAAAGGAAUCCAUACAACUUUCACUGCUUAUGGAAUCCCCAAGGACAAACUAACCUUGUCAAGGGCAUUGUUGUUGUGGACAGUCAACAAUAAGAUUCUAAUUGAGAGAUUUUUUUAUCAGAGAAAAAUAGAAGAAUCAAAGCAUCCAUUCCAUGACCUCUCCAACUACAAUCCAAAUGAUGGACAUAAGGUAGAUCACAUUGUUGAUGAUAAACAUACCUUAAGCAAUACAUCCUCAUUAACAUCAAUGUCCAAUAAUCAGGAGAGUGAGGACGAUGAAGACAAAAGAGAUGAUGACAUCCAAGUGAAAGAUAAGGCACAACACAAAGAUAAUGAAGAGGAUAAUAGUGAGGCAGAAAGUGACAAGAUUAGUGAUGAAAUUCAAGAUAAGAGUCCUUCCUCAUCAUGAAAAGAAAAAGAAGAUGAUGAUGAACCACCACAGAAGAAGGUUAGAUGUGAACUUUGGAGCAAGGUUGCAAGCAAUAGUGUAGGGAUGAGCUAGGGACAAAAGCCUUCAUACAAAGCAAGAAGAAAAAGUGUCACGCAAUAAAUAAACCAAGAGAAGGUAGAAAUGAAGGCUCUAAAGAAAGGAGUAAAAGGGUGAAAUAUAACAACAUAGUUACAACAAUAGGGGUAAAAAAAAAAACC
rnacentral:lncRNA from 1 species